rnacentral:lncRNA from 1 species
UUUUUUUUUUUUUUUUUUUGGUAUAAAGAAAUUGUAAUAGCAUCAAAACUUUUAAUUAAAUCUUUAUUCCUUAUUUUGGUGUGACUGAACUCAAAUUUUGAAUAUUUGAGUUGCCUACGUACCCUUCCAAAGAAAGAGAUCAAGUCAAAACGUAGUUCAAAUACAUUUUUUUUUUUUGGUAUUUUCUUUUUGUACCGUUUGCAGUUUUAACUCAUGCAGGCAAGGAGUGUUGGUUUCGUUUGCAGUUUCAACUCGUGCAGACAAGGAGCAUUUGGUGUCGUGUUGCAGUUUCAGCUCGUGCAGACAAGGAGCAUUUGGUGCCGUUUUGCAAUUUCAGCUCGUGCAGGCAAGGAGCUUUGGGUUGUUGCCUUUUAGGCUCGUGCAGACCAGGAGCUUUGUGCCAUGCAGUUUAGACUCGUGCGGGCGAGGAGAAUUUUGUGAAUUUUGUCAAGCAAUUUUGGAGAGGCGUUCCUCACAAUUUUCAUAGCAAGGAGCUUUGACCGCGUGAUUGAAAAAAUCUUCGGGCAAGAAGUCGCGCAUCGUGAUGGCAACGGACGAUCUAUGUGUCGAAAUGUCAUCAUCUUCAACACGUUCACGUUGCUUUGAAGGUUGACAAGAGCUGCUUUGCCCCCUUUCCGAUUGGCGGACUUGUGGAGGAGACGUAUGCUUCUUGUGCAAUUUCUUAGGAGUGACUUGAGUCCAUCCUUCAAUUUUGCUUGUCUUGGACGAUGCCCCCAGCGGUUGAGGUGAAAACUUUGAGUCGGAAGAGCCAGAAGUGAAGGUGGUAUAGUUUGACUUCGCCACUUCGUCAAGAUCUAGCUCGAUGAUUCCUUUCUGAGCCAGUUUCAUGAUGAGAUCUUUCAGCACGAAACAUUUUUCUGUCGGAUGACUGAUGAAGCGGUGGAAUUUACAGUAUCUUGGACUGCCAGUACGAUUUAUCUCUUCUGGCCGUCUGCACUCAGGCAAGCCGAUCACCUUCUUUUCCAGCAAGUCUUCUAACAUGGCAACCACAUCAGAGUCGGGGAAUGGAUAAGUUUUCUCCUCGAGCUCCUUCAAAGUGCGUCUACGCAUCUCUUGAUCACGAAAGCCUUCGGCUUGAAUCGCCUUGCCUCGUGUGGAGAUUUUGACAGGAGAUGUGUUGACCGUCAUCGCUUCCUUGGUGGGUUUCCAUGCAGCCUUUUCCACCUUUGUCUCAAGAACUUUGUCAUUCUUGUAGUUGGCGAUUGGUUCCUUCUUCCCAUGAUGGGCGAUCAACUCCAUGUCAUGGGCGCGAGUGGCUAAUUCCUCGAAGGUCCGUGGUUUAAUGCCUUGAAGGAUGUAUUGCAAACCCCAUUGCAUGCCUUGGAUGCACAUCUCGAUUGAAGAGGUUUCCGAGAGCCUGUCUUUACAGUCGAGGCUUAGAGUGCGCCAUCUGUUGAUGUAGUCAAUGACUGGCUCGUCCUUCCACUGCUUUGUGCUCGUUAGCUCUAGCAUGCUCACAGUGCGGCGGGUGCUAUAGAAGCGGUUGAGGAAUUCCCGCUCUAAUUGUUCCCAGCUGUUUGAUGGACUCAGGCUCUAGGUCUGUGUGUACCACUCAAAGGCGUUUCCUUUCAGCGAGCGCACAAACUGCUUGGCGAGGUAAUCCCCUUCGGUUCCUGCGUUGUUGCAAGUUUCAACGAAGUGGGCAACGUGCUAUUUCGGGUUUUCCCUUUCCAUCAAAUUGCAUGAACUUUGGUGGUUGAUAACCCCUCGGCAUCCUUAAGGCGUCGAUCUUCUUUGAAUACGGCUUUGAGUACAACCCGGAGGUAUUUGAGCUCCCUUCGUACUGUGCCUUGAUGGUGUUGGUGAUCAUCUCUUGCAGCUGCUGGAUAGAAAGAGAUCCCAUGAGUGCCGCUGCUUGGUCUGGCUCCGGCUUCGCAUCGUUUUUCUCCACCUGAGGCUCUUCGUCUCCGCCAGCUCCUCCUUUUAGUGGAUCAUCCUCUGGGUCGGGUUUAUCGCCGUCCUGCGCCUCCAGUCGGUUGACUAGUGCUGCAAUUUGCAAGUCUUUUUCUUCCACAGUUUGGGUUAGCCUUGCGAUUGCUUCAUUCAUUUGAGCCAGCUGCUCAUCGAUUGAAGUUGCUCCAAUGGUCAUGACUUGCAUGGCUGAACUGUCGCUUGAAUCGGCAUCAGAGAGCAUGGAUUCGGAGUAUUUCCUUGGGCUUUCCCCCCUUGGUACCCUUAGUGAGGCUAAGGUGAUCAAAGGCUCGUGCCUUGGGUGCUUUUGUUCCUUUGGCAGAGUUGAUGCAGAGGUGAAAGAGGCGGCAAAAGUAGCUCUUGCCAUGCUUCGAGUCGUGAUGCCCAAAGUGACACCAGUUGCGACGAGGACGCUUUUGUUCUUUGCGCCGGUUACGGGAACAGUUUGAGCCUUCCUUGAUGCCAUUAAUUUUGGAAGUGCGCUUGAAUUUCUUGAACGGAGAAAGAGAUGAGAGGCAGAGAUUGUCCCACUGGGCGUGCCAAUUUGUGAACACGGAAAAUUCCUGAAACGAAAGAGACAAGAACGAACGUGCACAAACAAAUAUUUGUAUUUGAUGAUUUUGGGUUACAAUCUCUCUCUAUUUUGAUCCUCUGAUUCGAUCUCCGUAAGGUGUUGAUUUGUGGGAUGUGCGAUUGAUCCAAGGGCCGUCGAGGCUUGAUCUUGGAUAAACGAGGAUGAACGGAUCUUCGAGGGCUUUUGAGCUUGAUCUUGAAGAAUGGUGAUUGACGGAUCUUCAAGGGCUUUUGGGCUUGAUCUUGAAGAACAGUGAUGAACGGAUUUCCGAGGGCUUUUGGGCUUGAACUCGAAGAACAGUGACGAACGGACCUUCGAGAGCUUUUGGGCUUGAACGGAUCUUCGAGGGCUUUUGGGCUUGAUCUCGAAGAAUAGUGAUGAACGAUGAACGCUUUUCUCAAGGGCCGUCGGGGCUUGGGCUUGAUGAACAGCGAAUGAGCGGAUUUGUUGAUGUUGUCGAUCCAAAGGGGCCGUUGGGGCUUGAUCCUUGAGGAUGAACAGUUGAUGAACGAUGAACGCUUUCUUCAAGAGGCCGUUGAGGCUUGGGCUUGAAGGUGGAUGAUUGUUGAUCCAAGGGCCGUCGGGCUUGAUCUUGGAAGAACGAUGAACGAAGAACGCUUUCUUGAUUCUUCGGGAACCUGGAUGCUUGAGAGCUUCGGAGUUUCAGAGCUUCAGAGCUUCAAGAGUUUUUGCCUAAUGAUUUUUUUGGUCCCUUAAAUGAAUGAAAUGGGCUUGUAUUUAUAGAAUUUUCCAAUGCCUAAUUUUGAAUAUAAUAUCCCAGAUGAAAUAAGUCGUUUCUGCCAGGUGUUGACACGUGUCCUAUUUGAUGAUUUUUCCAACUCAUUUCAAUUUUCGUUGAGUCACACGCUACGUGUAAAAUUUAUGUAAUACAUGAGCGUUGACACUUUGAUUUAUCGGUCAACAUUUAUUUACGAAAUUUCGAUGUCUACAGAAUCAAAAUGGUUUUAUAUUUCUAAUACGGUGGUGGGCAUGAAUUAAAGGGGAGACGACAGAGGAAUUAUGCAUGACUCUCGGUAGAGUUUGCUCAUGUGGAAGCAAUCCUCCGACGCAACGUAUAAAAAUAUUAAAUUCAAAUGAAAAAUUUAUGUUCGUGUAGAAAAUGUAAAAUCAUGACUAUAAGGCUGGGAUAGAGCCACUUAAGCUACAAGUUAAAUAAUAUUUUUCUUCUUUUACAAGUAAGAAGUUUUAAGUUUGAUUUUCGUUAAAAGAGAAUUUGAACCAAAUUAGCCAAGACUUUCUGGGGCCUUCUCUUUCUGGGGCUCUACCGACUGCUGAGACUUCUCCUAAGCAACCUUUGUGAAGGCUCCCUCUUGUUUGUUUAUUUUGACUCAAGUAUAUGUACAUAUUUGUAACUUAUCGGGGAUAUCAAUAAAUAAGCUUUCCUUCAUUUCAACGUAUUGUGUUAAAUACACCAAAGCUUUCUUCGCUAAGUUCUUUGAAUUUUCUUUUGUUGAAGCUUUGUGAGUGGAGCAUGUAGGCUGAGGUAGUGUUCCCUUAAUUUUCCGAGUGAGGAAAACUUCUCGGUUGGAGACUUGGAAAAUCCAAGUCACUGAGUGGGAUCGGCUAUAUGAAUCUUAGAACGCCAUUGUGUUCUGUCCUGUGUCAUGUCCUCCGUUAGAUCCAAGUACUCUAAGUCUUUUCUUAGGGUCUCUUCCAAAGUUUUCCUAGGUCUUCCUCUACCCCUUCGGCCCUGAACCUCUGUCCCAUAGUCGCAUCUUCUAAUCGGAGCGUCAGUAGGCCUUCUUAUGUAAAAUCAUGACUAUCAAGGCUGGGAUAGAGCCACUUAACCUACGAGUUAAAUAGUAUUUUUCCUCAUUUGUAAAUGAUAAGUCUUAAGUUUGAUUUUCGUCAAAGAGAAUUUGAACCAAAUUAGCCAGACUUUUAAAGCCCGGCCCAAGUUGAGUUUUGUUUGAACUCCUUGUAUAAUCCACAAAUUAAAAUUAAAAAGUAAAUAAUUGCAAAAAGAAGGUUCCGCUGCCGCGAAUCGAACCCGGGGAGUCGGUGUUGAGUUUUGUUGAGCUAUUCGCUUACGUCAGCGAUAAAACCUCUCAUUUGGAAGGCCGAAGGCCUCGCAGCUCAUUUCUGUAGCGGUGUAGCCCUAACCCAACCUAGUUGAACGAAACUCUCUCGCUCUCUCUCCCCCCCCCUCUCUCUCUCAUCACUCCCGCCGUCGCCUCUCUCUUUAGGGCUUUUCAUCGGCAGUUGCUUCAUUCAUAUUCUGCCGGUAAGAGUUUGUUUCCAAUGGAUUUGUGUUGUUUAUUUAUUCCCUUUGAUUGUUUUUGUUGUCAUCUGCCUCGAAUGGAUUCCGUUUCUAUUGUUAUUUGCAAAUUUGUGUUUUGGGUUUUGCUUAAUUCGUUUUCUCAACUGAGAAAUAGGAUUAUUUUCGUUUGAUUUAUCAUGUAUUAUGAGCGCGAAACCAGGUGGAUAGAAAUUUUCGUGUUAAUGAUUAUAUUUUUUUAUUUAAUUGGAGUUAUUUUCCUGAAAUCUUUAGUUUUAUGAACUAAAUUCAACGCUUCGACUCAUGAGAACAAGAAACAAUUUUUAUUCUGAAUCUUAUUUUAAUUUUUCAGAAUUCAGAAAUGGGUUUGUUUAUACUCUGCAUAUAUAUCUGUUCGUGCGAAAAAAAAUUCAAACUUUGCCGUGACAUAAUACUAGCAAUCUGGUUCUUAUAAUUGUUGUUGUUCUUAUAAUUGUUGUUUUUGUGUUUGCGUUCACCAGCAAUGGCCGAGGAAGCAAUGGCUGAGGACGCAGGUAUGUUUAUGGUUCAUCAGACUGUUGGGAGCGUACUAUGUUGCAAAUGCGGUAUUCCCAUGGCACCAAACGCUGCCAAUAUGUGUGUCAAGUGUCUGCGCUCUGAAGUUGAUAUUACGGAAGGUCUGCAGAAGCAUGUCACCAUUGUUCAUUGCCCUGAGUGUGAGUGCUACUUGCAGCCUCCAAGAACUUGGAUCAAAGCCCAAUUGGAGUCGAAGGAGCUGCUGACCUUCUGCGUUAAGAGACUCAAGAACUUGAAUAAAGUUCGGUUGGUGCAUGCUGAAUUUAUUUGGACUGAGCCUCACUCCAAGAGGAUCAAGGUUAAGUUGAAAGUUCAGAAGGAGGUCCUUAAUGGAGCAAUACUUGAACAAUCAUAUAUUGUUGAGUAUGUUCAGCAAGAGCAUAUGUGCGAAUCCUGUUCAAGGGUUCAGGCCAACCCUGACCAGUGGGUUGCAUCUGUGCAACUCCGCCAGCAUGUUUCUCACAGGCGCACAUUUUUCUAUCUGGAGCAGCUGAUCCUGAAGCACGGUGCUGCUGCUAGUGCUAUAAAGAUAAAGCAGAUGGAACAAGGUAUCGACUUCUUUUUCUCAAACCGAAGUCAUGGUGUGAAAUUUGUGGAAUUUGUGGGCAAAGUUGCUCCAGUAAGGAGUCGCAGUGACAAACAGCUUGUUUCCCAUGAUUCUAAAAGUAACAAUUAUAAUUAUAAGCAUACAUUCUCUGUUGAAAUAAGCCCCAUUUGCCGUGAAGAUUUGAUUUGUCUGCCUCCCAAGGUCAGGUCUAGUUUGGGAAAUCUUGGUCCCCUCGUGAUUUGCACCAAAGUGACCAAUAGUAUUGCUUUGCUUGAUCCGCUCACCCUGAGGCAUUGUUUCUUAGAUACUGAUCAGUAUUGGAGGUAUUCCUUCAAGUCUCUGCAUACAAGCAGGGAGCUGGUGGAGUAUAUAGUGCUUGAUAUGGAGAUUAUUUCCCCUGAAGUUAAUGUUGGUGGCUCAAGAUAUGCUCUAGCUGAUGCACAAGUUGCUCGCGUGUCUGAUUUUGGGAAGAAUGACACUAUUUUCAACAUAAAAACACAUCUCGGCCAUAUUUUAAGCCCAGGUGAUUAUGCUCUUGGUUAUGACAUGUAUGGGGCUAACAGCAAUGAUGAUGAACUAGAGAAAUACAGGAGUCUGGUCAUUCCAGAUGCAAUCUUAAUAAAGAAGAGCUACGAAGAAAAGCGGCAGAAGAAGCGUGGGAAGCCUCGUCCCUGGAAGCUUAAAUCCCUUGGAAUGGAGAUUGAUGAUAAAAAUAAAACAGAUCAAGAAAAGGUGGAGUCGGAGUAUGAACAGUUCUUGAAGGAUCUGGAGGAGAACCCUGAGAUGAGGUUUAACAUGUCACUGUACAAGAAUGAAGAAUACCAGCCGUCAGAGAUGGCAUCUAUGACUGAUGGGGAAGAUGCACCUUCUGUCCCACUUGAAGAGUUGCUUGAUGACCUUAAACUUCGUGACUCCGACCAUGACGUUGAAGAUGAGGAAGACGAUAGUAGCAUGCGGGAGUAAAUGGUGGUUUAAACUGAAUAUUAAGUUCGUCACUGGGUACCUUCUUUAGUUUGGUUUUCCUUUAAAAUUGUUUUUCGUAUGUUUUUUUUUUCCUGCUUACAACAGUGGCUGUUUGUUGUACGGAAGAGUUGAGUGGACCCUUAUUUGGAGCUAAAUAUGCUUGUUAGUUUUUAUUACAGUAGUGAGAAGUAGGAUGAAUGCACAAGAUACUUCUACUCAAAGGCUUUUGAAUUUUUGUCAGGACGAUGGCAAACAAAAUUUCUAUGGUGCUUUGGAGUAUUCGACUCUCUGGAGUACUAGUAGUAUAGAAAAUCUCUUUCUCAUGCUCCGGAGCAUCCUUCAAUUGUCACGUUGUAUAUCGAACUGAUAUACAAGUAUAAAAUCAACUGAAACUUUCUUCUUUAAAAAGAUAUUUGAAAUUAAAUGACAAUGGCACAAAAGAAGAAAAAGCCCUUUCACAAAAAGCAUAAAACUAAGGGUUGGUUUGGUAUUGAUGUGCUUUGAAAAAAAACUGCUGGGAGAAUAAUCGGCUGUGCUGUGAGAAUAAGCGGCUGUGAAAUAAAUCAACAGAGUGUUUGGUAAACUUUUUUGUAAAAGUGCUUUUGGAAAGAAAAAAAAAGCAGUUUGAUAGUGGGUCUUUUUAUUAAAGGAGCACUGUAGCUCCGUGUGCUUUGAAAAAAAACCAAUUUUUCAAAGCUGCAAAUAGCAGCUUCAGCUUUUUCCUUUGAUUUCAGCUUGCAAAUAGCAGCUUCAGUUUUUUCCUUUGAUUUCAGCUUAUUCUCACAGCAGCUUCCAAAAUAAGUUUUUUUUUUUUUCAGUUUACCAAACACCUAAAAUUCUCACAGCUUUUUUUUAUGGGUGCUUUUUUUUUAAGCACCUCAUUCCCAAACCACCUCUAAAGCAGCUAUUACAAAAAGUAGUAAUCUAAAGCAUGACAAUUGACAAAAGAAAAAGAAAAAAGAUAGCAGAUAGCAGAUGACAUGGUAGUAGAGCGUGAUGGGUUUCUUCCAAGAACCUGAGACUUGGCAUCUGCUCUUCUUUCAGCACGGAGAAGAAAGAAACGCCCCAUUUUCGUAUUUACCGCUACAUACGCCUGAGAAAGGAUGGAAAAUAAGGUAAAUGAAAAUCCAAAAUCAUAAGGAGUAAUGUUCGACUUUUCAUAUUUCUAAAAUAAACAAUGUGUUUCCAAUUUCAUAACAAAAGGCUAUGGUUUCAAGAUUUUACCUAUAUGAGGGCAUUCACUUCAUUCUUGUAAGCUUCGGUUAUGCUAGUUCAGUCACCUACCCUACCCUAGUACACGGUAUGCUACUCAUUCAUCCUUAUUGUCUCGACUGUAUCUUGGUUAACAAAUUCAUCAUUUAGAUUAAAGAUGUAGUUGAGAUAACUGAUUCGGUAACGGACCGUUUGAGAACCAUUUCACUUAUUUUGGUUUUCACUUUUUGUACUUCAGAACUAAUGAAAACCAAAACACUAAAAACGAAAUGGACCCUAAACUUUUGUGCAGGAAAUAGAAAUCUUUAUCAUGGCAUUGUAAGUGACAUUAUCAUGACCAACCAACCUCUUCAUAAAUGUUUUAAAUGCUGCCCAUGAUUAAGGGGUUUUCCUUCUGAGAUUUUGAUCUCAAGGCAUGAGUUAGAAAACACUUAAAUUAGGACCCCAUUGUGCACCUCAAACAUUCAUAUAUAAUUUAACAACUAAGAUACAAAUCCUCAACUUAAGUUCUACAUGCACACACAAACACACACAUGAUAUAAGUACAGUGCCGGUGCAACAAAGUUACACUUGCAAAUUGAAUUGUACAAUGGUCUCGUGGAUGGGACUACUUUUAGAGAAAAAAGAGUACCUGUGGUCUUUCUGAAGUUUGCUCAAUAUAGCAUCCAGGUCCAUGUGCAUUCUUAAACUAUCCGAAGAAACGUUCUUUAUCAAGUGUUGUAUUGCUGAUGCAGCUUGUUCCUGAAUGCAAACAAGGAGAUUAAGACCAACAGCUAUACUCGUUUCCUACAAUUAAAUAACUAAUGGGGCAUUUCAAAAGAUAAAAAGAAAAAAGAAAGUCUGGAUGGAUUUCAAAGUUCAAGAACCAAAGAGUAAAGUUUACAGUAAAGGCAAGAACUAAAGUAAUACGAGCAAAUAAACAUCAAGCAUUACUGGUCUAGUAAUGUCUCUUCCAAGCAUUGCGUAUCAAUACACAAUGGAAGACUGCUCUGAAUGGAUAACAUUGAAACAGCAAUGAAAAGUUCCAUAUUUUAUAUAGCACGAUGUUUCAUAUAUGCUAGAUACUUAGAAUUCUUAUAACCAUAGUAAGAUUUCUGUUUAUCAGCUAAGCUCCAUAUACUAGGGUAACUUAAUAGCUUCUCGGUUCAGAGUCAACCUUUAGGUUAGGUAACUUAAUAGCUUCUCGGUUCAUAGUAAGGUUUUUGGCCACUUGAUUAGUGGCCAAGUGGCCAAAAACCUUUCGGUGCAUAUAAUAAAAAAUAAAGGAUAUAAUGAUGUGGGAACAUCAUUAUGAGGAGACAAAUGAUUAUGUUUCCUUUUGUUUUGUUGAAUUUUCAAAGGCAGAGAAUUUGGUUUUUUACUUCCACCCUUUACCUUUGGAGAAGUAGAGAGAGUAUCAUUUGUUUUUUGGAGAAGCCCAACUUUGCUCAGAGAGCAGAGCAUCCGAGCAGAGAAGAAAGGUGUGCUGCAUUCCUCAUUGGAAGAGAGCACCUCUCUUCAGUUAGUAAUCAUUCAUCAAAGUUGUAUUUGUUGUAUUAGCUUUGAGCUUUGUAUAGAGAGGAAAUUAUUCACAAUAUUUCCUUCACUAUUUGGUUCUUUGGUGUGUGAGAGCUAUUGGUUGUAUUGGGGUUUUCGGUUGUGAGAUUGCCAACACUUUGUAAACUCCCAUUUGGUCGAUAGUGGAUUAUUAGGUGAGCUCCUACUGCUCCGAGGACGUACUCCAGUUAAACUGACUGUUGAGGAACCUCGUUAAAAUCUUGGUGUCUUUUACAUUUUGCUCUUGCAUUCCAUUUGAUAUAUUUCCUGUGGGUUAGCUUGAGUUGGUUCCAAUUGGUUUGGUGCUAUCCUAGCACAACACUUAUUACUUAACUGUGUCUUUCAUACUGCCCCUCCAGGCAUCCUCUUACACAUUUUUCACCCUUUGGUUUAUUACUCUAUCCAUCUUAAUUUAGCUAUAGGCUUUGGUUCCAUAUGCAAUUCCUGGCAACCCAAAUACUUUUCAAGGAGGAAAACAAAAGCAAAUCUCUAACUGAACAAUAUGACCAUUCAAAACAAAACAUGCCAGGGUAAAACGUAAAACAUAACUACAACCAUGUUCAAAUAAGCACAAGGGAACUUGGCCUAUCAAAAUUGAAGUAGAGAGAUCUAGCAAAGACGAGGCACAAUUAUGUAAAACAUUACUGAUAAAAACCGAGCAAGUAAUCACAAAAUAACAUAACAGAUAGUAAAUUCAUAAACCCGCACCUUUAAUCUUGGAAUCGAAUGUUGGUCAAGUGCACUAACUAGUGCAGGCACAAUCCUCAAAUGAUGAAGAAUCUGCAUUGCCUCAAUCAGGAUUAUAGGCAGUUGCAUAAAAUUAAAAGCUGCACAACAAACUUGAGACUGGGGAUCUUGGAAUGAUUUCAAAAUCAUGGUUGUAACUUGUUCCAAAUAUUUUUUCAUCAGUACCUGCACUAAAGGAAUGGGUUGAGACAUAUCAAUGAUUUAAAGGAUCGCAUAUAAUGAUGAAAUAACAGGUACUGGAUACCUGAGUUACUAACCACGUGCUAAGUUUACUAACACAAGCUUGUGCACUAUAAAUAGCUCAGACUAACAGGAGAUAAUCUAGCUUUAUCAUUAACAAACCUUAAACCCCAGUCCCAGGGCAAAUGCGCAAACCAGAAAAUCUAUAUGGUGUGUAUACCAUUCCUUCAUCUUUUAUUGAUACCGACACACAAUGUUAGUUGACUGAACCAUAUAAAAAGACAAGUUAUGGUUUUUAAGACUGGUUGGUAACUCAGGUAAACCAACUAACCAUCAUACUUAGAUGAUCUGCAGUACAGUACCAUAUCACAUAAAUAUUUCUGAAUACCAGUAGGCAAAAAUCAAGCAAUCAACCAGUCAUAGAACUAUUACCAUCUCCUCUGAGCACUCCUUUGCAAUAACCGCUAGCAUAGAAAUUCCUGCGUGGCGCUUCUUCCAAUCGGAAGCAUCCAUGUACUCCAAGAACAACUCAAAAGCUAUGGGGGUCAUUGUCUUUUCACCUAAGGCGGUUGAUAUUUUUGUCAGGUAUGCAAUUCCAAGAUCUGUCUUCCCAGCAUUCUCAGCCUGCUCGCUUUCUGUGUUGUAACAUGCAUAGUCAUCAUUUAUACUGAGAAGCAGUUUCAUUGGGACUGCCAGCAGUUUAACCAAAGUCUGAUGUGGCAGCCCCCUCAUUGUAAGUGCCAAAUCGCUUGCUUCUACUACGGUCAGCAAGAAUUUGUGAACAAACACUUUGGUUCCCUCUGUCACCUGUUCACUGUCUACUAUCUUAAGCAUAUCAAGUACUAGUUCGUUAAGGUAGGGCUUCAAGAGUUGUGGCUCUUCCUUUACCAACAUUAUUAACUCCUUGAGAGCCCCGCGAGCAUAGUCUUCUUUCAAGUGACUUAACAAAUUAAACAGUCCAACCAUCAUCCCCCUCAAAAGGUCAUGAAACCAAUUCCGCCCUAAUGAAUUCGAAAACAAAUGGAUCAAACUAACCACAGCACCAAAUGUCGCAACCUGAAUAUCAGCAUUUUCCGAAUUCAACAUACGCAAAAAUGCUGAGUGGGUAGGUUCAAUGCUAGGAGCUAACGUUUCACAAAUAACCGGACGAUACACUUUUGGGAAAAAAGAACACACCCACAAAGCAGAAAGCUGAAACCUUUCGGAGUCCGACUGAAAAGACAUCAACAAAUAGUCAAUGAGCUCCGGCCACUCAUCGCCAGUCCUAGAAAUCUCCACUGCCAUUUCAGAUGCAAUGAGACAGAGAAUCCUCAAAAUGGGCAAUGAGCCCUCUUCAUGAAGGCGAACAAGAAAUAGAUUUUUAAGGUUAAUUUGAGCAUUCAAUGACAACUUCGGCCAAAGGUCACCGAGCACAAACCGGAGAACAAGCGCAGACCUGGUGCGAAUCUCUGCGGAAGGCCCGUUCCUAAUCACAAAGAAAACCUUGAUGAAAAGCAAAUCCGGGAAGUGCUUUCUGCAACAAUGUAGAAGGCUAUAGGCCUGAGAUUUUUGGGGCUCUUGAGGGCUGAAGAGAUGAGAAAGGAGCGUCUCCAUUGGCUGCACAUCGUUCGAACUCAGAGUUGCGUAGGCUUGCAUUUGCAAUUGCUGAGAAAAUACCGGCUCCAUCGUCGUUCUUCGCUGAAUUUGGUUUUCAGGAAUCGUCAUUUCGAAUGUGGGGUUCUGAGGAACUAGAGGAUUCGCUCGAGAAACCAAAAGUUGGUGGUUGACGGUUCGAUUUACUGAUGAAUAAAUGAGUUUUGGGUUGUGAGACUUGAGACACAAGAAAGGUAGAACCAAACCAAAAUUUGGGAGGGCACAAGGAAGACUGUCUGCACUGCCCAAUGCAAGCUUUUACAUUUUUCAAAGGAAAUUGCAAUGUAUAACGAAAUAGUUGAAUUUUCCAGUUACAAGGUAAAUAUGCCUUCUGAGCCGGAAAUUUUGAGUUUGUUUCUUAUUGGGCCAGAAAAAGUUAGAUACUGAUAAGGAUGAGUUGAAUAAUUGGGUGCAAGUGCACCGUAUCUAACUCUUAUGAAGACUCGCGUCUAUUAAUCUUGGUCUAGUGUAAAAAUAAUACAACAAGAUUUAAACUUACAAAAGGAUGCGAGGUUGAUAUUAUUACUUUUACUUUUGAUCUUGUACGUUGUGUUGAGAAACAAACAUACUUUAAUACAUUCGACAACACCUUACAUACAUAAAGAAAAAAUUUCAUCUCCCUGAUACUUUUUCACGUAAAACUUUCAAUGGUUGUCGUCAAUGUCCAUAUUAAUUUGAUUCCUUAUACAAUCAUACAUGUAACAUUCACACUACUUGUCAUAACAAUAUUAUUAUUUUAUGUUAAUAUUAUCGAUGUGAUUUUAGUAGAAACUGAAAAGCCUCCGCCAAAACUUGAAACCUUGCCGCCAAAACUUCAAAAAUAGGGUUUUUUAAAGAAUAACACUUUCCAAAGCUCCAAUGCCGAACUAAGCAGAGGAAGUCCCGAAGAAAGAAGAUUAGCAUAGAAAUGAGGUCAAGGAAAGCUCCGGUGGCAUUUAGGGCGGCGGGGCAGCGCUCACUGCCUUCAUUAUUCUCGUCUUGCUCAAAAACGCCGUAAGGGAAAAGUCACCAAACCCAACGUUUUUCUCUUUUGUCGAUUAAAUUGGAGUUGAUUUUUGUUAGAUACAAUUGUUUUGAGUGGAAUUAGGGCCAAGGUUGCAGAAGAAAAUCCAGAUGAAGGCAACAAUGUGCCACUUUCGGACUCUUCAGAGAGGAAGCUGCUCCGGACUUCUGCAAAAUCCACAACAGUAAAGGUACCCAUUUGUUACCUUCUGUUUGGUUGCUGAGAAAAUUGUGAGGGAAAGAAAGAGACAAAUCAAAUACUGGGUUUUAUAUUUUCUGUCCAGAUUUACUGUUUUCUCUGAUUAUUAGAAGCAAAAGAGGAAUCUUGUAGGCUACAUUUUACCCAAGUGAAUCGUACUUUCGUGAAAAAUUGCAACUUUAAGUUGCCAAAGGCAACUAGUUGUAUUGUAAAUUUGUAGAAUUUUUUAUGUGUAUUUCAUGAAGAAACAAUUACAAAUGAAACAUAUAUAUAGGAAAAGAAAGUAGACAUAAGCCUAACUUGCCUAACUUGCCUAACUUGCCUAAUUUCCUAACUUGCCUAACUUGCCUAAUUUACACAAAGAAUGUUGACUAGCCUAACUUCACUAGUCAUCCAACAUGUUUAUUUCAUGCAUACAUUUUAACACAAGAUAUGACUUGCAUGCAUUCUUCCAACACUCCCCCUCAAGCUGGAUCGAGGGGAUUCGCUGAGCCAAGCUUGCCCAAUAACCGAUGAAACUGAGAUGAUGCUAGUGCCUUUGUAAAAAGAUCUGCUAGUUGCUCAUUGAUCUUCAUGGCUUCGUGUGAACAUGGUCCGGAUGAUUUGCGUUUGAACUUGAGCUCUGAUGAAAUGACAAUCCACUUCAAUAUGUUUGGUUCUUUCAUGGAACACAGGAUUGGCAGCAAUGUGCAUGGCUGCCUGAUUAUCACACAUAAGCGUCAUAGGAGUAGAACUAGGAAACCCUAAGUCUGAAAGAAGCCCUUUAAGCCAAAUGAGUUCACAUGCAGUGGCUGCCAUGGCUCGAUACUCAGCCUCUGCGCUGGAUGCUGGAACGAGCAAUUACUUGUUGCUUCUUACUCUUCCAUGUGACAAGGUUUCCACCAACAAAUGUACAAUAGCCUGUGAUUGAUUUCCUAUCAAUUGCAUUACCUGCCCAGUCUGCAUCUGUGUAGCCACUAAUGACAGUGGACUGAUUGUUUAUGCAUUGUAAUUCCUUGCCCAAUUGAACCCUUAAGAUAACGAAGGAUUCUCUUAACAAGGUUAAGGUGAUCAACAGUGGGAGAGUGCAUGAACUGACUAGCCAAGCUCACUGCAUAUGUGAUAUCUGGACGAGUGAUAGUGAGGUAUAUGAGCUUGCCUACUAAUCGUUGAUAGUAGCUUACAUCAUGCAUGGCUUCUCCAUCUAUGCUGAGCUUCAGUUUACAAUCAACGGGAGUGAUAGCAGGCUUGCAGUCAAGCAUUUUUGCUUCUUGAAGGAGGUCCAAUACAUAUUUCCGUUGAUGUAGAAACAGUCCUUUUGAAGAUGUGGCCAUUUCGAUCCCCAAAAAAUACUUUAACCUCCCCAAAUCUUUGAUAGCGAAAGCUUGAUGUAGUGAAAGUUUUAGUGCCUCAAUCUCCAUGGUAUUAUCUCCAGUGAUGAUAAGAUCAUCAACAUAGACGAGGACCACCAACUUCCCCUUGGUGCCAGUUCUUACAAAUAACGAAGAAUCAGCAUUACUUCGCAUGAAUCCAGCCUUUUCCAGAACAGAACUGAGCUUGGCAUACCAAGCUCUUGGUGAUUGUUUCAAUCCGUAUAUUGCCUUGUGCAAUUUACAAACCAUGUUGCCUUUAAUACCAUCAUAUAGCCUGGAGGAGGUUGCAUAUAUACACUUCUUCCUGCAGCUCGCCGUGAAGGAAAGCAUUCUUCACGUCCAUUUGGUAGAGUGACCAUCCACAAUUGAUUGCAACUGACAGUAAAACCCUGACUGAGUUCAUCUUGGCCACUGGUGCGAAUGUUUCCUUAUAAUCUACACCAAAGGUUUAGGUGAAACCUCGAGCAACAAGUCUAGCCUUGUGUCUCUUGAUAGAUCCAUCAGCUUUGAAUUUAGUCUUGUAAAUCCAACGACUUCCAACAGCCUUUUUUCCUGGUGGUAGUUGAACUAGGCUCCAGGUGCAAUUCUCUUCCAGUGCCCGAAUCUCUUCUUUCAUGGCUUGGUUCCAUUGUGGGAGAAGAGAAGCUUCUUGAAAGCUUCUUGGUUCAUAGUGCUUAUCAAUUUCACUGAGAAAUGCAGCGUGAGAUGUUGAGAACUUACUAAAGCUGAUACAUUCAUUGAUUGGAUGUCGUGAGGCAUAUGUAACAUAGUCCUGCAACCUAGCUGGAGGUUUUCUGAUUCGAGGAGGAUUUCUUUUAAUCACCUGAGACUCUGUAGAGGGCGGAGAAGGAUCAGAGUAGGGCUCCUCUUCACUCUCACUGGCAGUAAUUUGGUCAGUUUGAACUUCUUCACAAUCUGGACUUACAAUGACUGAUCUCUUUUCCAACAUCGGAUAAUUAAAGUUUUGAGGGAGUGGGAACAUGUCAACUAAAUCCUCCCCCUGACUUGUAAAAUAGGGAUAGUCUUCUUCGAACUUCACAUCUCUUGAAACUGUGCACUUCUUAGUGACUGGAUUGAAGCACUUGUAUCCCUUUUGAGUGGUCGAGUAUCCCAUAAACACACACUUGGUUGCCCUGGCAUCUAGUUUGUCACGGUUCAAGGUUUGGAUGUGAACAAAACACACACAACCAAACACCUUGAGAUGUGUCAAAUCUAUUUUCCUCCCCUUGAGAACUUCAUAGGGAGAUUUAAACCCUAGCACACGACUUGGAAGUCGAUUGAUGAGAUAAGUGGCAGUAAGGAUGGCAAACGACCAAAAUUUCUUUGGAACGUGCAUGUGAAUCAUGAGAGCACGAGUUUUUUCCAAGAGAUCUCUAUUUUUCCUCUCGGCUACUCCAUUUUGUUGGGGAGUCCCCACACAGCUGGUUUGAUGUAUGAUACCCUGAGAACUUAUGUAUUGAAGCAUGUUGUUGGAUAGAAAUUCAGUGCCAUUAUCUGACCUUAAAACCUUAAUGUUUGAUUGAAAUUGCGUUUUAACAUGCAUGUGAAAGUCUUUGAAAAUGGUAGGGACUUCAUUUUUUGAUUUCAUAAGAUAUAGAAAACUUGUUCGAGAGAAAUCAUCAACAAAUAAAAAAGGUCGUACCCAGUGCACAAGGCUCCCGCUUUACGCAGGGUCUGGGAGAGGUGAAUGUCGGCUAGCCUUACCUCCAUUUAUGGAGAGGCUGCUCCCAAGUCUCGAACCCGAGACCUACCGCUCAUGGGCGAAGGCACUUGCCAUCGAUUCAGUUGCAGGUCCCCAUACAUCGGUGUGUACCAUUUCAAAAGGUUUACUUGUCCUAGACAUUGAAUUACCAAAAGGUAGCCUAGUAAACUUAGAAAAUUGACAAGUAUCACAAGUAGGAUAGGGGUUACAAAAAUUUGGAAACAGUUUCGACAAGACAAGUUCAGAAGGGUGAGCUAAUCUCCUAUGCCAAAGUUGGUUUUCAUCUAUGGACUUCGAUUGAGCUUGAAGAGCCUGAGUGAAACAUGCAUUCUUGCACAGGUAGUAAAGUCCAUUUAUGAAGACCCCUUCACCAAUCAUCUUCAUGGUGAGAACAUCCUGAAACAUUACUUUAUUUGGUGAGAAAAUAGCACGGCUUACUUUAUUUGGUGAGAAAAUAGCACGGCAGUUUAGGGUGUUGGUGAUCUUUCCAAUUGACAAAAGUUGGAAGGGAAAGGUUGGUACAUAGAGGGCAGUGGAAGGUGUUUUUUGAGAGAGUAAGUUUAUUUCUCCUUUUCCCAAAACUAAGACAUUUUUUCCAUUUGCAACAGACACAUGUGAGGGGCUUGAAAUUUUUUUAAAAUGAUGUAAAUUUGUAACUUUGUUUGUCAUAUGAUCUGUGGCGCCUGAAUCAAUUAUCCAACAAUCAAUUUCAGUACUAGUUAAUAGGGCAGUAGUAAAGGCAUUGAGUAUACCUGAUGCUUCUCCCUUUGGAACUUUCUCAUUUCCAGCAAGAAAUCCGGCAAAUUGUCCCAACAUAGCUGUGUGACUACCCUCUUCAUUGCCUUGACCAUGUGAGCCUCCUCCGUGCCCCUUACUUUGUAGGUAAGCUGCAAAUUCAUUGAUCAAUGACAAUGGAUUGGCAGUGAACUCCAUGGAUCCUUGUGAGAUAGUAGGAGCGUGAGCAUUAGCAAGUUGUGCCUUGAAAUGAGGUUGAAAUUGUUGUGAGGACCUUGGUAUCAUCCUUCCAUCUUUCCUGAACUUAGGCUUGAGUUCAGGAUGAAGUUCCCAACAUUUGUCUUCCUCAUGACCAACACCAUUGCAAUAUUUGCAUUUUAGAUGUGUGUUUCUUCCCUUGUAUACCUUGGCUUCUGAGUUCUUGUACUUUGAUGCAUAUGCCCGAGUCUCCAUUAAUCUAGGAUUGUGAUCAACAUUCAUAACCUUCUUCCUUGCUUCUUCUCGUUGGAUAGUUGCACAAACAUUGUUGAAGGUAGGCAGGUCUUGACUCAUCAAGAUGUGACUCCUUAGGUCCUCGUACUCAGAGCUCAAACUCCCUAACAGUUGAUAAAUUUUGUCUUCCUCAGCUCGUUUUAGGAGAAUGGUAGGAUCUGUGGUAUGAGGGAGAUAUACAUCCAACUCAUUCCACAUGGCUUUGAGGCUCCCAAGGUGUUGAACAAAUGCUUUCCCUUCUUGUUGAGCACUGGCAAUGUCCUUCUUUAAUUGGAAGACCCGUGCAUAGUUGUUUUGAUUUCCAUACAUAUCCUGCAAAGCUUUCCAAAGAUCAUGUGCGGAAUUGGAGUAGCUAAAAAUUUCAGCAACAUGUUUCUCCAUGGUGUUGAGCAGCAAGGACAUGACAAGUUGAUCUUUGCAGAGCCAUGCAUUGUAUGUAGAGGAAGAACUGUCUGGAGCUUCCACGCUUCCAUUUACAAACCCUAACUUCCCUUUGCCUCCGAGAGCUAGUGAAACAGCUCGGGACCAAGGAAGAUAAUUGAACUCGUUCAAGAGAACUGAACACAAACGUUGAUUGGUGUUAACCUCAACAUCUGAGAAGUUUGGAGAGAGAUUGUGCCGGGUUUCCUCAUCAUGGUUCACAGAACUUUCUUCAGUCAUGACUUAGACUUUGAAAGAAAGAAAAAAUUGCAGCAGCAAGAAUGGCAGAGACAGGUUACAAAUGAACCUGCUCUGAUACCAUGUAGAAUUUUUUAUGUGUAUUUCAUGAAGAAACAAUUACAAAUGAAACAUAUAUAUAGGAAAAGAAAGUAGACAUAAGCCUAACUUGCCUAACUUGCCUAACUUGCCUAAUUUCCUAACUUGCCUAACUUGCCUAAUUUACACAAAGAAUGUUGACUAGCCUAACUUCACUAGUCAUCCAACAUGUUUAUUUCAUGCAUACAUUUUAACACAAGAUAUGACUUGCAUGCAUUCUUCCAACAAAAUUACUAAAUUAUGUCGAUUGAGAAGCAAUUUAGACACUCAUAUUUGACCCUCUACACACCCCCUCUUAAUUUUAACUGGUUGAUUCUCCUUUGAUUGUUCAAUCUAACGCUAAAAAACAAGAGAGGUGUGUUGAAAUCAUUUCCCUUUUCUCAAAUUUAGAGCGGAUAACUGAAAGUUUGGAACUUGAUUAUUUCCUUUUAGGUAGUUCCAGGAGUUGGAUGUAGCAUGUGGGUCUUUGUUAGAUAUAUAAAACAAAACAAAAAGGAUGUGCAUUUAGGUUCCUGUUUUGAUUUAAGAUUUGGGGUUUGAAUGAAAUUGGUUUAAUUCUCAGGAAAGGUUAAGGCCCUUCUCAUCUGUAUUUGGGUCAAGAGAUUUAAGUGAGUCUAUUGAUGAGCAAGUUGGGGCAAAGAAAGGAGGGGAAGCAGACAAGAAUCAUGUUGCUGCUUUAGUGGCUCUCGAACUUUUCAACCAUACUGAUCUAGGAAAAGGACAUUCUGUAGGUCCAUCCACUGCUGGUGAAGUUGAAAGUUCUAAUGAAGAUGUAGUUCAAGAAUCGAGAAAAAGGAGGAACCCCUUUGAAGGUUUGCUUUAGUAUCUCAACUUUUCUUGGUGCUAGAUUAUCUUUGGAAUGAACUAAGCUUCUCUUGAUGAUCAUUUUUUGGUUUGUCUUCAGAGAGAAAUAUAAUUGAAAACUGAAUUGUUUCUUUAUGUUGCACUAAUCUUGGGGGAAAACUGAAAACCUUAUUAAAACAGCCUAACUCAACCAAUUCAAAAGACUAUUUCUUGUUCAGGACUGGGGCGAUGUUUGCUGGAUCUUAAUACGGUAUAAAAUUUGGUUGUUUAGUUCUUCAUAGAACCAGCAAGCACAACAAGCGAGUUUAGUAAGUUUUCCAUUUCUUCAGGUGCUAAUUCGUAUAGUGCAUCACAUUUCAAGAAUGCGAUUAAUGUUUAUGAAAUGUGAUUGUGCCCAUUACUUCUAAAAUAGGUACCAAUAGAAAAUGAUUGCAAUGGUAGUUUGCUUGGAGAAGUGUACACAUAGGGUGGGGAGUUGUAGAAUGAGGUGUAGCCAAGGUGUUAAGAGUAGUACUUCCUUGUCUAUAUGUACUACAGGAGAUGCAUAUGUAUGAGUUAUUGGUAUAGGUAUGCAUUGGACUUUCCACCAUACGUUGUGCACGUCUGACUCUCAGUUUUAUACAUUUCUUAAUUGCCUCAAAUUUUAGUCACAGGGAUAAAGUUAAAUUGUAGAAAUGAUCUAGUAGUUUCUCCGUGUUGGUAUCUGAUUGAGUAGCAAUCUGGCAGAACAUUCCAUGAAUGUUUUAUCAGUUGAUGAGUGCUUUUCUUUCUGCGUAGAAAUGUUUGUGGAUAUUUGCCAACAUGCGUUACUUACAUCAAGCAUGGUUCAGGGGAUUUCCAUAUCAUCAGCAUGUCUUUUCUUUUCGCAUUGGAAGUCUUAGAUUCUGGAAUCGACUUGGAUUUCAUAUCUUUAACAGACUUUCUGUCUCUCUUUCUGUAACUGUCAUACUUCUUGAGAAAGGAAAAAAAAAAUUAAGUGCCACGCAGUGGCCCAGAAAUUUGGAUUCAAGAGAGGGACAAGUUUGUGAGAUAAAGUCUCACAAAGUAGAAACAUGAAAGAUGAGCUGAGGGUCUCAAAUUGCAAGUAGAGUUGUAGUUAGCAUAUACACCACAAUAUGCAUUGCAUUGGGUAGUUUGACAUCUAGCAGGAAACGUCACUUUUGCAGGCAGUUAAAACAUUUGGUUACUCAAUCAACUUACGUAUUUGGUUAUAAAUCUGAUCCACAUCCCCUCCCCACACCUCGUCUUUGUCUUUGAAUUAGGUGGCGGUUACAAACCCAUUGUAAGAAAGAAUUUCACAGUGCUAGGAGGUGAUCCAACGCCAAAACCGAACCAGAAAAGGAGAAGGGACGAGAGCUUGAUCGUAGGCAAGGAGAAACCAGGGCCUGCUUAUAAUCACUGUGAGUAUGCUGCUACAUAAUUUGUGAGUCAGAAACAGUUACUUGUUCAUGUUUCUUGUGAAGCUCCACAAAUUAUUUCUUUCUUUUUGGUGGUGAUGACAGAUGCAAGCGGGCGUGGGUGGUGGGACUGCGACCGGGAGGGGAUUGACAACGAAGAAGUAGGACUGAAUGAGGUGUGGGAAGGAGUCGGAUCUACCACAUUGGGAGGAAUAGAGUGGCAUUGAUCUUGAGAUUCUUGACUUGAUGCUACGAAUAUUUACUUAUUUAGUAGAUGACCAGAUGUCCUUGUUGUAUAAUUUAAGAUAUAUCAUUAACAAUUGAAGAUGUCAUGUUUACCACUCUAGCUAAAGAUCAUGGUGGGAUGCUCUUAAAUUAUAAGUUUUUUUUUUUUUAACAAACGAUAUUACCUAUACUGAAGGGAUGAGAUGAGUUUAUCCUCACAAUAAGCUAGAAAUAAUAUGGUUUCAAUUUGUAUUUGACAAUAAUCGAAUAUAAGACCUGUCAUUUAUUAGUAAAUAAGAAUACCACUAGAUCAUAACUAAAGUUAAAAGUAAAAAAUUGACCAAAACAGUUGAAAAAUUCUGAGAAUUCUGAGAAUUCUGAGAAUUCCGUGAUCGUUAUCGUUCAUUGUAUAUCGAACAAUCAGUUUUUAUUAAGUAUUAUUUAUAUUUGAUUUUAUGUACUAUGAACGUUAACGGAAUCCCAUCAGAGGCGAGGAUCCUUUUUCAAAAAGUUGAAAAGUAAAAUGGUAUAUGUCAGCAUUCAAAACUGACCGUGGGUAAGGAAGUAAAAAUCUGUUUCCUUUCCGCUCCAGAGAAGGACCGACUAAAUUCCUAUAGAAAAAGGCGGCUUCGUCCUUGACUCCAAGCCUUGGGAGUAACCAACCAGAGCAAUCGAUUUUCGAGGGGUAGCCAUUAAUGGAGGUUGACGAAAUGGAUUCGCUCUUCGAGGGCAUGGUCUUGUUUACCCCUAACAAUUCUGGUAAUAACAGUCUACCCCAAUUGGAGGAUUUGGAGAAACACCAUCUCCCUGAUCACGGUGGUCAAGAUCCAGCCCUUCAAUCUCACCAAGAUGGAGAUGCUCCUCCACCUCCGCCACCUCCGCCAGAAUCAUCAUCCUCCGAGCCUCUUGACGAGAACCUCUUCUCCGACCUCACAGUCCAAUUCCAGACCCUCCCAAACCCAGAAGGUCCGCUAACACAGACACACGACGACCUUGUUCAGAAUCAAACCCCCGCAUCGAAACCAACACCGCCUGCGACAACAUCCAGACAGAACUCCUCCACUUCCAGACGGAAAAAGCGAGCCGCUGGCCUCCGCAUCGGAUACGCCCGCGAUUCCUAUUCCAGUUCCAGGGCCGAUGAUCCCGAUCUCGACGACGACUCCCUCCCCUACACCUCCACCUCCAUCUCCACCAGCCCCGUGGUCCCUACUUCCACUCCAUCUUCUGACUCCACUCCCCCUCCUCCCCCGCCUCCGCCUGUAUCCUUAUCAGUAUCGGAACCAGAACCAGUACCAGUAGAAGUGGUCGUAAAUGACAAAGAAGCCCCUCCCGAGCUCCGGUUGGAUCAGAGCAAGGCUCUGAUCACCGACAAGCUCAGUCACGCUCGCCAAUUGGCUGCCUCCAUCUCCGCCGCAAGGAAGGAAUCCAUUGCCAAGAGAAGGGCAGCAGCGGACCAUCUCAAUUUGGCGUCUGUCAAUGAAGCCAAUCUUGAGAAACAGCUGGAAGAGGCUUGCGAGGCUGAGGAUUUCGACACUGCACAAAGGCUCAGUGACAGCCUUGCAGCUGCUCAGAGCCAGAAGCAAGUUCUGUUAGCCGCCCUCAGAGAUGCCGAGGCCGAAUGUGAUGCUGUGGACACCAAAAUGCAUCAAGUUCUCCAAUCUCAAAUCACCGCCGAGGAAGAAUGUGCUUCUCUGCUUCAACGCUUUGCCACCGUAUGUACCUCCUCCUCCACCUUUUGAUUAUUUGCUUGCAGAAAUUAAUUGUUUUUAAUAGCAUAGACUACAAACAAAAUGGAGAUAAUGGAAUGAAUGGCAAUUGUGAAAGUUAUGACAUUACAAUGAUGACAUGUAGUAAUGAGUAAUGUGAUGAUUGUUUGGUUCGAUAUCACAGGAUGCCUCGAAUGAUGCAGAUUUGGUCUUACAAACAGCAGAAGCCCACUCUUCAAAAGAAACAGAAGAAUGGCUUUCAUCGACUGAAGCCUUGCAUGCCAAGAAAAUGGAACUGGAGAUUGAAUCCCAUAUCAUUGAUGAUGCUGGGCUUGUCUUGGACUCUUCCAUUGACACUUUGGUGGAGGAUGACAAGAGGGAGAAAGAAUGUCUCUGUAAGAAAAAGGACGUUCUCAUGGACGAACUGGAGAAGCUACUUGCUUUGGUGAAACUGAAGGAACAAGAGAUUGCACAAAAUGAUCGUGACAUCAAACAAGUUGAGGAAAGGAUUGAUCUUGCUCUUUCUGGCUUCCAGGACAUGCAAUCCAGCAUUCAGGCCAAGUCCAGCAACUUGCAAGCGGCCCUCUCUAGGAUAAAUGUAGAGAGUGAGGCUCUGUCAACAAAAAAGACGGAAAUUGAUGCCUUCCUUACUCAGGAACAAGAGAGGGAAGCAAAGUUGAGGGAACUGGCCAGGGCUUCCACAGAGGAAGCAGAGGCAUACCAACAAGUUGCUGCUCUUAGAAAAACUCUCAUGUCCUCUAUUUUGAAGUCCAGGGAAGAUAAUAUCACGCUUGCAAAGACUGAGGAAGAGCUCUCCAAGGAUGUUCAAAUGCUCCAACAGGAUGUUUCUGCCUCAAGAGCUUCACUGCAGGAACUGUCUUCGAAAAAGUCGAGCAUUCAGCAAGAUAUAGCAUCCUCUAAGCAGAAAAUGAUUUUCAUAGACAAAAGAAUUCCAGAGCUGGAAGCAGAAAAGAAAGUCGCUGCAACUGCAAGAAAUUUUAAGGAAGCAGCACGACUUGCUGCCGAGGCUAAGUCGUUGAAUGUUGAAAAGGAAGGGAUACAGAAUGACAUGGAAAAAGCCAUCUUAGAGCUUGAGAAACUCGAGCAAGAGAUAAAAGAGACUGUUAACAGAUUGCAGGAGACAGAGGGGCAUAUUCUCUCCAAGGAAAAAGAGCUAGCUACGGCUAGGUUUCAGAGGUUGCUUCUGAUAUCUGGUAUUGCCAAAGCAGAAAGAGAAGCUGCUUUGGAGUUGGGUAACCUUGAAGAAGCUAACCUUCUGCUUGGGGAGGCCGAAGCAGCAGACUCUGAAGCAAAUAAGCUUCAACCGUUAUACGAUCUCAAGGUGGAAGAGGUUGAAAGAUUACCAAAGCAGUUCAUCUCCGUGGAGCUUAUAUCUAAUCUUGGGAGGAAGCAGUUAGAAGAAUUAGCAGCAUCGGUGCAACCUUCUCAGGGGUGACAACUUGCAGAGCUAGAGUCGAGGAUUGAUUUGUUAUUGAUCUCUGUCGAGAUUGGAAAUCAUAAGUCUACAAAGAGUUUGAUAUGAAAAGCUGGAACAAGUAAAAAAAAAAGUAAUCCUACUUCAUGUACUAUUACUAGAAGAGGUAAUUUAGAAUUGGAAAUUGAAAUUUUCAUUUUUCUUUUUCCGAAUUGGAUGUGUUUUGAGUGUUUUAUUUGUGGGUUUCUCAAAUUAUGAAUCCCCACCAAGCUUUUUUCGGUAACUUUUGUAGAGUUUCUAUAUUCCCUGUUUUUUCUUUCUAUAAUUGUGAUGUGGUUCUGGAUUUGUUUCUUUUCCUUCAUUUUAUGUUGCUUGUAAACUGUUGGGAGCCCUUACCCUUUUUUGAUAGAUAAAUGGAGAGGCAUUUUGAUGUUCUUUUUUAUUUAUUCGUCGAUCGCAGACAAUGAUCAAAAUAUGGUAUCUCGUAAUUUGAUGACUAUUUGUGAUAACUUCUUCUGGUGUUCUUCUGAGAUUAUCAUUUCUCCAUCCAUCUGUUUUCUCUCCAUAGAUAUUGUGAUAUCCUCAGUCGAAUUUUAAUGUUAUUGGGGUUGUGUAUUUUAGCCUCUAAAGUACGGUUGCUCUGGGCACUCUCACCUGCUACUGCCAGGAUUGUGUUGAAUUAAUACCAAAAUUUUGACCCGGUCUUAAUAGUAGGAAAAGUAUUUUUCCAUUGAUAAAAUGAAUAACAUUACACUUUGGGUAUUUAUACAAAAGCUGUCACAGCUAACAGAAAAUAUACCUCCAAAACUAACUAAGAUUCCUUAACUUUUAAGUAUUAUCUCUUGUAGGUGUAAUUACAUUUUUAUCCUUGGUACUUAAUACAGAAGUCAUUGAAAUCAAUUACAACGACUUCAUAUUUGCACUUUGACUCCUCUCUCUCUCUCUCUCUCUCUCCAUAUUUGCAGGAGACUCGAGUCUGGAGUCAACAUUAUUCAGAACAUUGACAUAUUUUAAGAAGCUCCUUUGGUCCGUUAAUAGUUCAGAGGAUCUUGCAUCAAAACUAAGACUGAGCUAUGGAGAACUCCAAAGAGAUGGUUGUGAGGUUGGUUUAUAUAAUUCCUUGUUUUCUUAUGUCGAACAAUAGGACUUGGAAGCUAUUGGUCCAACGGUAUUUCUCUUCCCAAUGUUGUAAGAAGUUCGAGUCUACCAUCUUAGUCUGGUGGAACCUCUACCAACUUGGAAGCCCCACUAUACCGUAUAUUAUUUCAAUGACCGUUUUCAUGUUUCUUCUUUCUGACGGCUGCAAUGUUUAUGUUAUUUCCCUUGUGUCAUUUUCAGUAUUGCUGAACACUGUACAGCGGAGGCCAAGAUGAGGAAACUGUUCCUUGUGAUAUGGAAGAGGAUAUUUAUAAUAUCAUGCGUCUUUGCUCUUUUCCUAGAUCCUUUAUUCUUGUACAUUCCUAUCAUCAAUGAGGAUAUCAAGUGUCUCAUGUUGGACAAGAAGUUGAAGAAUACAGCUCUUGUUUUGAGAUCAUUCACAGAUCUCUUUUACAUAGCGAACGUUGUCAUUCAAAUUUAUUUUGAACCUAAAGCUCGGCCAUUUAGGGUGAUGGGGAAGUCCUAUUGCAGUACGAUAGUUUUGACCAAAGGAGCGACAUUAGUUGAGGACGCUCUGGAUUUGGCCAAGUGGAUUUGGCGAUCACACAUCCUAAUCGACAUUCUAGCCCUUCUUCCCAUUCCACAGGUACAAUGAGACGCCUUUGCUUUUCUAACCUCUCUGUCUGUUAACGUGUAAGGAGGAUUGGAUUCUCACAUGUUAGGAUGUCAAUUUUACUAUAAAUGCAUAAGAUAUUUGCUUUUAUAGGCGUAUAGAACUGUAUAUUACUGCUAGACCAGGAUUCAGCUGAUUACAUGUGAUAUAUUUCUUUUUAGGAGAGGUCAAUACCCUAAUUGAUUCAUCUCUUCACAGUGUUGGAAGAGGUUCCAAGUUUGAAUCCCCAACCCCCUCUGUCAAGUGAUAACAAAAAACAUUAUUUACACAAUGACGAGAUAUAUAACUCUUUGCUUAAGCCUUUGUUUUGUGUGUAGGUACUAAUUUUCAUUUUCUUCACAAAUAUGAGAGGCUUCAGGUCAAGGAUAGUUCUAAACUCUCUUGUUCUAUUUCAAUAUGUGCUGCGGGUUCUUCGCAUCUACUUAUCGUGUAAACAGCUUGAGAAUCAUGUUCAGUCUGUCUUCAAAUUCUUUACGUUCAUCCUUGCAAGUCAUGUAAGUUCCAAUCUCAUCUUUAUUUGCUUAAUGUUGUUACUCUAUUAAAACAUUUGUCCUGCAAGUCAUCCAUGAAUGAUAAACAUACAUGUUGAAAAAUGAAGUUGCUCGUAGUUUGCAUCAAUGAAUUGUAUUUCAGAUUUAAUGAUGUAUAUACAUUAAUCGCAAGUGUUCGAUGAGGCAAUGCCACCUAUAUCUGUCUAUUUAACGGGUUCAGAUUGCAUUAUCAUGAGCAAUGAGUCACUGCCUAACUGUGACAAUCUAAUGUUGCGUGGUAUGGUGCUCUCAGAUCUUCCAAAAUUUAACAGCCUUGUUUUCUUUUUACUUCUUUGGCUUUCAAAAUCUGAUUACAUUCUUCAUUAAUACGUUGUGAAGCUUUUAUUUCGUGAAAACUUAAUAAACGUACUUUCGUCCCCUUCAAACCAGUUACAUUAAUUCAGAAUUUUCUCUAAAUCCAAUCAUUAUCAUUAACUAAUUUAUUGGUCCUUUAUAGGUAUUUGGUGCCCUUUGGUACUUUUUCUCCAUUCAACGAGUAACAGAUUGCUGGCAAUUUGCAUGUCGGAGUACAAAUGGGUGUGAAGCUAGUUCUUUUGACUGCAACGAUCAUCCGUUUAGAAAUAUCACACUUCUAAAUAGUUUAUGUCCCAUAAAUCCACCUAAUGCAACACUCUUUGAUUUUGGUAUAUUUCUUGAUGCCCUUCAAUCUGAUAUGUUGAGAUCAAGCGAUUUUCCACAAAAGUUCUUGCACUGUUUCUGGUGGGGUCUACGAAAUCUUAGGUAUGUAAUUGCAUAUAGAAGGCUCAACUAUUUGAUCUUGCAUAUUGAACUAUUGGGUGGGGGUGAACAAUUUCACAAUCAACUUUGCUGUUGUAGUAUUCUGCAUUUGUUCAUUCAUGCUAAAAGGAUUAUAUACAACUGUCGUUCUCUCGAUGUUUGUCAGAAUUUUAUUUCUUCAUAUAGAGAUGGGAUCUUAACUAAUGCUUUUGACAUAAAGAAACGGCUGUAGAUCGAGUUUCUUAUUCGAGCUCAUAAUUGAGAUAAUGCGACUUCAUUUCAUCUUUGCAGUUCUUUUGGCCAAAAUCUCCAGACUAGUACCUAUGCAUGGGAAGACCUCUUUGCAAUUUUCAUCUCAAUAAUUGGCAUGCUUCUCUUCUUAAUAUAUCUCAAUGGAAUUAUGCAGGUUGGUUUUUAGUCCGUCUCCAUAAAACAAGAAUCUUGAAUGGUUGCUACGCAUGUUCACUGCUUUUUUUGUUACGAAAACAAUAUUAACUUGCUAAUCAGUACUGAAUCUACUCAAUCGGGUGACUGUAAAGCUUCUCCGUUGUUCAUCAUUACCUAAAGUUUUGUCAUGCAUUCUCAGAAUUUAAUGAAUUGAUCGAUCACCUAGCUACUUGUUCUUGUAUACAGACAUAUAUGCUGUUGUCAACUGAAAGAUCAAAGGAGCAAAGGAAGUUGAUGAAAAUGGAGAGGAAGAGAGGCCCAGCGAUAGCAUCAUGGUUACAUAACAACGACAUCCCGUUAAACAUGAAUAAGAUGAUCAUGUCAUGUGCACUACGGGAACUUGAUGCGAACAAGGAUGUCAAUGUCGAGAACAUCCUCUCUGUUGGUCUUCCCUUAGAAUGUCUCAAACUCAUCAAACGCCAUCUCUGCUUGGCUACGCUGAAAAGGGUAAGUUUUUCUUUCCAUCAAGAAAGAUUCUCCCCAAAAAAGUUCUGAUCAUAUCCAUCGUAGUAUAUUGAAUUUUUCUACUCUGGUUAACCACACAUUUUAAAACGCAGAUAUGCAGUCGAUAUUAUUGAUAGUUUAUAUACUUUGACCUUACAGUUAUGGAUAUAAUGUACAUUAAUGAUGCCUUGUUAGAUUUAUUAUCUAUGUUUAUUUUUCUUGGGGAAUAAUGUAUCUAAUUCUAACCUUAGGUGCCAGUGCUUCAAGCCAUGGAUGACGAAGUGUUGAGAAAAGUUUGUGACGGUUAUCUAAAGCCAAUGAUCUAUAACGAGAACAAGUACAUUAUUCGGGAGAUGGAACCAAUUGAGAAGAUGCUCUUCAUCACGCAAGGCACGGUGCGCACCUACAACACUAGCAACAGUGGUGGAGGUGGUUUCUCAAGGACUAGCUGCCUUGAGAGAGGUGAUUUUCACGGGGAAGAACUUCUAAAUUGGGCAUUGUAUAACGUUAAUGUUGCCUCCUCUUCCGAUGACCUGCCCAUCUCCACUAGAAUUGUUAAGUGCAGCACAAAAGUUGAAGGGUUUACCCUCAUGGCCAACGACUUGAGAAGUGUCGUCUCUGAAUUUUGGACCAAUGACAUCGACAACCCUCUCUCUGUGUCGGGCACCCGCUAGGUUGCGAAAUCAAUAUGCUAAGACUUGUGGCAUAUUGAUUUCGUAGUACACCCCGUCUUGCACUGAAUACUGUCUUCCCAGGUGCAUCCACAAUGUUUAGAAAUUUUUCAAUAUGAUCUGAACAUGAGAUGACAUACUAAUUUACAAAUUAUGUGAUACAUGUAUCAUCUGUAUUCUCGUCAUCAUAAAAAAAUUUCUCCACAAUGUUGGAGGUAGAUUCGGAUAAAAUUCUAAGAUACAAAUUUACUGCCACCAUUACAUCUCGGGCCGUUAAUAAAGCUGUAUGAAAAAGGUUUGGUACAUUAACUUGUUUUCGUUUGUAAAUUUCAUAGUAACGGUAAACCCGUUUCAUACGAUCUGUUUGUCAAUCCUUCCGUUAAAUACUGACAUGAAACUUCCUUCGCCUUCGUCGACCCCGAUCCUCCCCAGUUACCCCUAAACCUUCCCCGUCAAUCACUUCAUCCUCGUCUUCCUCCUUUCCGUCGUGCUCAUCGCCGGCCUCUUGCUCGUACAUUUUGUCAUCCUCAUCGCCGGCGCGUGGAUGGAGCAAGCAAGAAACAGCCGAGAAAUUCGAAGCCUUUCCCGCCAUUUUCUCCCCUUUUUUCUUUGCCUUCAGUACUUCUCAGCCUCUAAGAAAAACAAGAUCAGAUAUUCAGACCAGUGAUUUGGGUGAGGGGUGGGUUCGAAUCGUACGGACGACGACGACGGGGAAGGAGAGUGGGCGUACAUGGAGAGGGUGAUGUUGGAUUAUGUGGCCAAGUGGCCAUAUACUUUAGAUUAAACAAACCAAAGGUGGACAACACCUUUCCUUGUUUUGGGGAGGAAAAUAGGGGAAAGGUUUUUUGUCUUGGUCCAUGGGAAGUCACGGUUGAGGUUUUGAAUAAUAAGUUUUGGUUGUAAUGAGAAGUAAGAGUGGGAUAGAAGAGAAGAAAAUAGAGUGCAGAAAAUUGAGAGAGCCGAAGAGAAGAGAGGGAGAGAAAGAAGGUACUGCUACAGUACCAUUUUCAGAGAAGGGGUUGUUGUUCUUUUCAUUGGAUAAUUCUCACUCCAUCAAAGUGUUAUUGUUGUAAUAGCUUUGAGCUUUGUAUAGAGAAGAAAUUAAUCACUAUAUUUCUUUCUCUAUUUGUUUCUUUAGAGUGUGAGUUAUUGGGUUAUUUGGGUUGUGAGAUUGCCAACACUUUGUAAACUCCCAUUUGGUUGAUAGUGGAUUCUUGGGUGAGCUCCUACUGCUCCGAGGACGUACUCCAGUUACACUGACUGUUGAGGAACCUCGUUAAAAUAUUGGUGUCUUUUAAUAUUUUUGUUCUUGCAUUUUAUUUGAUAUAUUUCCUGUGGGUUAGCUUGAGUUGGUUCCACAAGGGUUUGGUGCUAUCCUAGCACAACAAUUGGUAUCAGAGCACUGGUUGCUCUUGGGUACUGUCUAGUUGCCAAAGAUGUCAGACGGGCAAGAUGAAAAUCCUUUUGGAAGCAGCUCCGGGUUUGCAAGAACUACGGUGCAAAAUGCAAAGUUCGAAGUGGAAAAGUUUGAUGGCACAAACAACUUCGGGAUGUGGCAAUGUGAGGUCAAAGAUGUGUUGGCUCAACAAGAUCUACUUGCCGCGUUGGGAGAGAAGCCGGAAACUAUGUCGAAGCCGGAAUGGGAAAAAUUAAAUUUGUGGGCUUGCUCUUCAAUUCGGUUGUGCCUUGUAAAAACUCAGAAGUAUUUUGUGAUGCGGGAGACGGUAGCAAGUGUGUUGUGGCAAAAAUUGGAAGACAAGUAUAUGACAAAGAGUGCAGAGAACCGACUACACUUGAAGAAAAAGCUCUACCGCUUCCAAUACAAAGAAGGUACAAAAAUGAUUAGACACCUUGAUGCUUUUAAUAAGUUGAUUGCCGACUUGUUAAAUUUAGAUGAGGAUAUUAAGGAUGAAGAUAAGGCCUUAAUAUUGUUGAAUUCCUUGCCGGACUCUUAUGAGCAUUUUGUUACAACUAUUAUGCAUGGUAAAGAAACUGUGAAAUUUGAAGAUGUGUCAAAUGCCUUGAUGAAUUAUGAAAUGAGGCAUAGAGAUAAAAAUCAUGAUAGUACCUCUGAAGCUUUAUUUGUUAGAGGUAGAUCAUCGGAGAGGAGGUCAUCUUCUAGCAGGAAAAAAUCACAGUCUCGACCUAGGGGAAACUCUAAAGGUAGAAAACCUUUGGAAAGGGAUGAAUGUGCCUUUUGUCAUAAUAAGGGCCAUUGGAAGAAAGAUUGUCCAAAAUUGAAGACCAAAGGCAAAGAAAGUUCUGAAGCUAAUGUUGCUGAGGUUGAAACAGAUUUUUCUGAUUUUGCUUUAACCACUUCCUCAUCAUUUGAUUGUGCUACUAAGUGGGUGUUGGAUACGGGUUGUACUCAUCAUAUGACUCCUCACAAGGAUUGGUUUUCAAGCUUGAAAGAGUUUGAUGGUGGCGUUGUGUUCAUGGGAGAUGACAAUCCUUGCACAACAAAAGGGAUUGGUACAGUUCGUUUGAAGUUGCAUGAUGGCAUGGUUAAAGAGUUGACAGGUGUUCGGUAUGUACCGAAUUUGAAGAAAAAUCUUAUUUCUUUGGGUACUUUGGAAUCUAAGGGUUUCAGGUUUCAUUCAGAUGGACAGACAUUGAAAGUUACUUAUGGUGCACUUGUUGUGAUGAAAGCUCCUAGAUGUGGCCAUUUGUAUUUAUUGCAGGGAAGCACUGUGACAGGUGAAGCAUCUGUAGUAUCUGAAAAUAUGGGCACAUCUGAUUCAGAUACUACUAAAUUGUGGCAUAUGAGAUUAGGCCAUGCCGGUGAGAAAGCUCUACAAGGGCUUGUGAAACAAGGUCUUCUAAAAGGUGCCACGACUUGUAAGCUUGAUUUCUGCGAGCAUUGUGUCUUGGGGAAGCAAACUAGAGUGAAAUUUGGUACUGCUGUACAUCAGACGAAGGGCAUUCUUGAUUAUGUGCAUUCGGAUGUUUGGGGUCCUACAAAGACUCCUUCUUUGAGUGGUAGACAUUGGUUCGUGACCUUUGUUGAUGAUUAUUCAAGAAGGUCUUGGGUCUACACUAUGAAGCAUAAGAGUGAGGUGUUAAGCAUUUUCUUGGGUUGGAAGAAAAUGAUUGAGAACCAGACUGGGAGAAAGAUUAAGAUUUUGAGAUCGGAUAAUGGUGGUGAAUACACAUCCAAUCAUUUCUUUAAAGUUUGCAAAGAGGAAGGAAUUGUGAGACAUUUCAGUGUUCGGGGAACUCCACAACAAAAUGGAGUUGCAGAAAGAUUGAAUCGAACCUUGCUUGAGAAGGUUAGAUGUAUGUUGUCUCAGUCGGGUUUAAGCAAGUCAUUUUGGGCAGAGGCAGUUAAUUAUGCAUGUCACAUCAUCAACCGGUUACCCUCAGCUGCUAUUCAGGGUAAGACACCAAUGGAGGUAUGGACUGGAAAACCUUCUUCUGAUUAUGAUCAUAUUCGUAUUUUUGGUUCACCUGCUUAUUUUCAUGUAACUGAAAAUAAACUUGAUCCUAGAGCCAAAAAGGCUAUCUUUCUUGGUUUUAGUAGUGGUGUCAAAGGUUACAGGUUGUGGUGUCCAGAGAUGAAGAAACUGGUAAUUAGUAGAGAUGUGACAUUUGACGAAGAAAGUAUGUACAAAGUCUCUGAGAAGAAUGUGAAAGAUGUCCAACAGGUGGAGCUUGAGAAAGUUGCUUCUGGUACUUCAAAUCCUAUUUCCGCUGAUGUCGAAGCCACUACAAGUGAAGAAGUUGGAGACCAUGAGGAUGUUGAAGAAGUUGAACUUGAAGAUUCUAUUCAAGUUGAAGAGCAAGUUUCACCUCAAGAGUCUAUUGCCAAGAACAGAGGAAUGAGACAAAUUACUAAGCCAGCUCGGUAUAGUGAUUAUGUUGCUUUUGCUCUUCCUAUUAUCACUGAAGAGAUUCCAUCCAAUUUUGAGGAAGCUAUUGAGAGUGAGGAGAAUAAUAGGUGGUGCAAUGCCAUGGGUGAUGAGAUGAAUUCUCUCUUGAAGAACAAGACUUGGGAGUUAGCUAAAUUGCCUAAGGGCAAGAAAGCUAUUGGUUGCAAAUGGGUGUAUGCCAAGAAGGAAGAUGCUGAUGAGAAAAGCAAUGUGAGAUUUAAAGCAAGAUUAGUUGCUAAAGGGUAUGCACAAAAGGAGGGGGCAUUGACUACAAUGAAAUUUUUUUCUCCGGUUGUGAAGCACUCCUCAAUUCGCAUUAUGUUAGCUCUUGUUGCACAGUAUGAUCUUGAGCUUGUGCAACUUGAUGUAAAAACGGCUUUCCUACAUGGUGAUUUGAAUGAAGAGAUUUAUAUGUGUCAACCAGAUGGGUAUAUAGUGAAAGGGAAGGAGAAUUUGUUUUGCAAAUUGAAGAAAUCACUUUAUGGCUUGAAGCAAUCUCCAAGGCAAUGGUAUUUGAGGUUUGAUAAAUUUAUGAGAGGCCAAAAUUAUUCUAGAAGUCAAUAUGAUCAUUGUGUGUACUUCAAGAAGUUGCAAGAUGGGUCUUUCAUUUAUUUAUUGAUAUAUGUUGAUGAUAUGUUGAUUGCCUCAAAGAAUGUCGAAGAGAUUGAGAAAUUGAAGAAGCAAAUGAAGAAUGAGUUUGAGAUGAAGGAUCUUGGUGAAGCGAAGAAGAUCCUUGGCAUGGAGAUCACUAGAGAUAGAGCAAAGGGUUUCGUCAGUUUGAAUCAAAAACAAUACCUUGAGAAGUUGAUUCGGAAGUUUGGAGUUCAUGAUUCAACCAAACCCGGUUAGUACCCCUUUGGCUCCUCAUUUUAAAUUGAGUUCUCUACAAUGUCCUAAAACUGAUAAAGAGAAACUGCAAAUGAAAAAUAUACCAUAUGCAAAUUUGGUUGGUAGUUUGAUGUAUGCAAUGGUAUGCUCUAGACCGGAUAUUGCUCAUGCAGUUGGCAUGGUGAGUCGAUAUAUGCAUAAUCCAGGUAAAGAGCAUUGGCAAGCAGCCAAGUGGAUAUUGAGGUAUCUCCAUGGUACUCGAGAUGUUGGUUUAUGCUUUGAGAGGGAUGACUCUGGUAUUGGUCAUUUUACAGUUGGUUAUGUUGAUUCAGAUUAUGCAGGUGAUCUGGAUGGAAGGAAGUCUACUACAGGCUAUGUGUUUACUAUGGCUAAAGGGCCAGUUUGUUGGAGGUCCAUUUUGCAGUCGUCUGUUGCCUUGUCUACUACAGAGGCUGAAUAUAUGGCAGUUGCUGAAGCUAUAAAGGAGGCCAUUUGGAUACAUGGGCUUAUUAGAGAUUUGGGGGUUGAUCAGAAGCAGGUGGAGGUACAUUGUGAUAGUCAGAGUGCCAUUUAUUUGGCUAAGUAUCAGGUUCAUCAUGCGAGGACCAAGCACAUAGAUGUGCGUUAUCACUUUGUUCGUGAAAUUGUUGGUGAAGGGGAAAUCAUUCUCCAGAAGAUUCCAACUAAAGACAACCCCGCUGAUAUGUUGACUAAGGUUGUUGGUGUAGCCUAGUUUGUUCACUGUUUUGAACUUGGCUCACAUUUUGCCUAUAUAAAGAAGGCGUUGAGUAGUAGGAGUUUUGGAGCAUUUGGCUCAGCAUGAGUUGUUCUCUUGCUAGUGUUUGGGAGUGAUGUUGUGUGCUAAUUGUGUUGGUUGGCUUAUCAUGGCGUUUUCGGAACUUGGCCAAGGUGGAGAUUGUUGGAUUAUGUGGCCAAGUGGCCAUAUACUUUAGAUUAAACAAACCAAAGGUGGACAACACCUUUCCUUGUUUUGGGGAGGAAAAUAGGGAAAAGGUUUUUUUGUCUUGGUCCAUGGGAAGUCACGGUUGAGGUUUUGAAUAAUAAGUUUUGGUUGUAAUGAGAAAGUAAGAGUGGGAUAGAAGAGAAGAAAAUAGAGUGCAGAAAAUUGAGAGAGCCGAAGAGAAGAGAGGGAGAGAAAGAAGGUACUGCUACAGUACCAUUUUCAGAGAAGGGGUUGUUGUUCUUUUCAUUGGAUAAUUCUCACUCCAUCAAAGUGUUAUUGUUGUAAUAGCUUUGAGCUUUGUAUAGAGAAGAAAUUAAUCACUAUAUUUCUUUCUCUAUUUGUUUCUUUAGAGUGUGAGUUAUUGGGUUAUUUGGGUUGUGAGAUUGCCAACACUUUGUAAACUCCCAUUUGGUUGAUAGUGGAUUCUUGGGUGAGCUCCUACUGCUCCGAGGACGUACUCCAGUUACACUGACUGUUGAGGAACCUCGUUAAAAUAUUGGUGUCUUUAAUAUUUUGUUCUUGCAUUUUAUUUGAUAUAUUUCCUGUGGGUUAGCUUGAGUUGGUUCCACAAGGGUUUGGUGCUAUCCUAGCACAACAGGUGAUGGGUAGUGGUGAGCGGGAAGGGGAGGAGCGCGGAGGUGGAGAUGGAGGAAGAGAGAGCGGGAGUUGCAGAGACGUGAGGGGGAAGGAAGGUUAUCUGGGUGUGGGUUUUUUUUUUUUUUUUUAAUUUAAAUUUUUAAUAUUUAAUUAAUUUGUUAAUUUAGUUGGAAUUGAAAUUGGGUCUGUAUUAGUCACGUCAGUAUUUAACAGAAGAAUUGAUAAAAAGUAUAACGUUGCAAUAAAUUUGUAGAUAAGUUAUAAAAUUAAAAUAUUUUAUAGAUGAUGUAUGAAACUGUGGUUAAUUCAAUAAUUAAGGUAGUUUUAUGUAAUUUUUUUUUUUAACAAAUAAUAUUACCUACAUUAAAAAAAUAAGUAGAAAGUUAAAAUUUACAAUGGACCAUCCAAUAUAGUCUCGUUCAAAUGAACCAAAUAUAAAAUAUCUUAUUUAUAUAAGUAAAAAAAAUAUCACUAUUACGUGACCGAAUGAUAAUUAUUAUUAACUCAAUUAUUUGGCAGGGUCGUUAAGCUGUGACUGACUGUACUCCCAUGCAAAUUACGGGUCCAAUCAGCAGGAGAAGGACUACUAAUCCACCGACCCACCGCCAUCAAUAUUUUAUUUUUGGUAUGGACCCCUCAUCCGACUUAUUUGAAAAAAAUAUUCGACCAGAAGCAAACAAUUGUCAUGUUAAAAAAUUAAACAUGCGAGAUAUAGAUAAAAUACAGAAGAAUAUAUGAAUGGAUCAGGUUGCACCAGCAGGCAACCGCCUGAUAAAAAAAAUAACCAAAAGCAAUCAACAUGCCACUAAAUAAAACAAGCACAUCAAUCAAUUCUGUUAAAUGUUAAUCAUAAUUUAGGCGUAAUAGAUUUUUCAAAUGAAAAACCAAGAUAUAUGGAUUAUGUGCAUUUCCACAUACUACAAACGUGAAUUUGUGACUUAGAAUAAAUGUUUCUCAAAAGGGAAUAGUAAUCUAUUCAAUCCUAAUUUAUUCCUAUGAAACGUUUAAGAACAAGAAGAUUAAAUCGGAUAUAUCAACAAAUUUCCGCGUAGUCCAAAGAAAAAAAGAUCCAAUUUCAUCUCUAUCGCUACAUAUAUGCCACUAACUGUGCAAUAUGUGUACCAAUCAAUUUUAAGUGCAAUAUGUCCCACACUACGACAAUCCGACUUUACUUUUAUUUUUCUGCGUUUAUUUUUUCAAUUUUAACCACCAUACUUUUCUACGCAUUUAGAAUUUUAGAGUUGUUGUCACUUCUACAACAAUUAUAUUCCAUUUUAUUUUUCAAGUGUCAAGCAAACAGCUUGUAUUCUUUCUACUGCCAAAGAAACAUAUUUACUUCACCCCCAAUACCUUACAAAUUUGCAGCAAAUCAUGCAAAUUGAUCACUUAUUUUUCUAGGUUAUAAAAGUGUGACUUGUAUAUUCUCUCUGAUCAUAAUAUGUUUGCCUUCAAUGCUCAAAACAAUCAGUGUCAUAUUUCUUUUCUAUUAUGAUUUUUUCACUCUCCUUAUCAUUAACCUUAGUAGUCUUUUAUAAAGAAGUUAAAUACACAAUUUUAUAUUGGGGUGUGAUAUCCACACAUCCCAUUUUACUUCUCACACACCUUUUUAAUUUUCGGCCGUCGGAUCGGAUGAAUUGAAGAAGAUCAACGGACAAAAAUCAUCCAGGGGUGUGUGAGAAGUAAAAUGGGGUGUGUGGAUAGCACACCCCUUUUAUAUUAUAUAUACAUGUGUCAUCCACGUCAGUUAACAACGUGUUGAAUAAUGCAUUUCAUAUCUGAAACUCGAUACAAUAAAUACCUAAUUGCAUCGAGAUGAUCUGUUAUAAAACUCAAAAUAUGCAAAGCUGUGUAAAUUAUUAAGUUAACCAAUACAAGCGUUGUAGACUUGACUCUAAAAAUCUUGAUACAAAGCAAGCAAAAGAUAAUUGACAAUAAAAGUAAAAGGUGAUGUUGGGUUGUUCCUUGAUUAUGGCCCUCUAGAAGACUGGUACCAUGAUGCUGGUAGUUCGACAUUGACUGACUAAAAUGCCAGUUACCCAUUUGAUCAGACCAUUCUUGGUGAGUCCUAGCACACCUUCCAUGACUCUUUUACGCUCUAAUAGAAUAUGCACCUCCUUAUUUUUGGGAUCAGGAUCCUCUCCUGAGUUAAGGGUAAAGAUUCUAGUAUAUCAGGCCGUUUAAAUUUUAUCAAACGGUUAUAAUUAUUAUAAUAUUUAGAAAAUCCCUUUAUUUGUAGCCGUUGGAUAAAAUUUGAACGGUCCGAUGAACUUACUCAGAAAGGUCCUCAUCAUUAGCUUAGGAGAGGAGAUGAGAGGAUCCUGAUCCUUAUUUUUUGCCAAGACAAAGUCCACCUUGUAUUAUUUUAUUAUUAUUGUUCUCGUUGUUGUUUGUUCCACUUGUACUUUUAAAAAAUGACAUUAAUGUUUUCUUCGGUAGGAAAAUUUCGCAAGUUCAUUAAGUAGAGAUAAAACGUACGAGAAAAUAGGACAACUUUAAUAGAAAAACAAGUCGAAACUUUCAAUUUGAGUGCAAAAAAGCGAUCACCAUACUUUUACUAUAUAAUUAUGAGAGCUAUAUUCCAAUAACAAAUUUGAGAUUGAUAGCUACUUAUUAGUAGAGAUGUCAAGUGUUUUAGAGCUCGUUUGGAUAUUAAAAUAAUUAAAAACGUGUUUGGUGAAAAUGUUUAGACUCAAUCUUUAGUAAACGUGCAAGUAAAUUUUGUAAAAGCACUUAAAGUGCUUCCUGGAAAAAGCACAUAGCUGGUGCUUCUUACAGAAAACAUUUCAAUUGCUUUUGGAACCUAAAAAUAUUUUAUACGCUUUCAGUCAUUUUAAAAGCAGAUUUACACAAAUGCUUAUGACUGUUUCUAUUCUAAUUUAACAAAAACAAAAAGAAAAAGAAAAAGUUCUAUGGUGGGCGGAUUAUGAAAAUCUGAAUCAGAAUAGCAACAACAAAUAAAUAAAUAAAAAAUGAUUUCUUUUCUUUUACUUGCACUUUCCAGUAUUUCUUCGUUGUUGGUUUUCAAUUGCUGUAAAUUUCGGGUAGCAAAUUGGAAUAAAAGCUACGAAAGCUUUCGACUUUUCACGCACGCGCUCUUUCUUCCACAAGUCGUAAAGAAACGGCAGGACAGGAGAGAGAGAGAGAGAGAGAGAGAGAGAGACAGAGACAGAGGCAGAUUCUCUGCCCUCCUACUUCCCGUGUCUACCUCCGAGAGAGAGAGAGAGAGAGCGAGCUCCACCUGGCGAUCUGGGACACGGAGUCGUAAACACCAGGCAUUUGGAGUUCCUGAGUUGACAGACGGCCGACCUGCUCUCCACGACAAACCCACCCCCACCCCCACCCUCCCUCGAAUCCCUUUCCAAUCCAAUCCAAUCCAAUCAACCAUCAAUUUGCCUCUUUCUUUUAAUUGGGUUUCCGAAUCGCGAAAAGUGUUUGGAUUCUGGGUUUCCGAUUCGGUGGACGUCCACCUCCAGCUCCGGCCUGCCUCUGCCUCUGGGUUUUCAUUCAAAUUUAAGAUCUUUUGGGUCUGAAACAAUAAAAAACUUUCAGCUUGCUUGGCUGUUGGUGUAAGCUUGGAUAAGAUUCCGGUCGGCGGUCGGUGUCGUUGUUUGGAGGCUAAGGAAGGUUUCGGUUUGGGGCUUCCCUUAUAUCAAAUUUGGGAGGCUUUGGCUUUGAUUCAUUAGGAGUUGAGUUGAUACCUGCUGCUGAGAAUUAGUCAACAUGGUUAGUGGGCAUUUGUUCCAUUGUAGAAAGAAUUCAUGGCCGCCUGAGGAGUAUAUCAGCAAAAACACUUUGCACCUGGUUGGUUAUUCUCUCUCUCCUGUCUCUCUCUCUCUCUCUCUAUUUGUUUGUGUUAUUGAUUUGGGUUGUGUUUGGUUGCUGAGAAAAUGUAAGAGGUGGCAAGAAAACAAGCAAGUAUGGGUUCCUUAACUUCCUUUAACUCUAGAAUUUACUUGAUAAAGUCAGAGAUCAUAGCUAUAUGUUUGGUUUCAAUGAUGAUAGUCAAAUUCAAAUGCCUUUCAAUCCUAAACCCUGUUGUCUAAUAUAUGCAAUGCAAUUUAUUUGGUGAUUUCAUUUGCAUAUUCUUCAAAAGUUUUUGAACUUCGAAGGAAUUGGAGUAAGCAGUGGGAAUUUUAAUUAGCUAUGGAAAAAAUUAUUUGUUAACGUAGUUUAAUCAAAUAGCUCGUCUUGCAGAUCGAGUGAAUCAAAAUCCGUGCCAUGUUAAAACUUAAAGUUCUGCGGUUUAUCAAGUGUUAGUUCUACACAUGCUUAACCUGUAGGAUUUCCUACUAAAAUUCAUGCUUAAUUUGAAUGGUUUUUAUCUUUUGUUUUCUGGUUUUCUAUAUUGUGAGAACACCUGGAAUCCUACAUCUGUAUCGUUAUUCGAUAUUUUGUGUCUUAAUUCGACAUUUGUGUCAGUUACCGUUGGUGGAUUUCGGGUUAUUAGUUGCUAAUCUGUUGUAUCUACUCCAUGAACCCUUAUUCAAAAAAUAAACAAUUCUCACCUUCUCUGUGAAUUUUGUUUAGCAUAUUUUUUACUGUCUUAGCAAGCAAACUGAUUUUGGGCUAUUAUCUUUUGUGGUUCUUGUUGUUUAGUUUAUUCAAACUGAUUAUUUUUCUUGUUACUUUUGUGUAGUUUGAUUUUGAUAGUGCUGCCCCACCAGAACAUGCCUGGAGGAAGAAGUUAAACAGCCAGGCUAAUCUUCUCAGAGAAUUUAGUGUUACAUUUAGGGAAGCGAUAAAGAUGGUAAGCGGGUUGUUUUCUUUAUUGUCGUUGACUAAUAAAUACGUCCUGUGCAUUCUCAUGUUUGGAGCUUUUCUAUUUUCACCCAAUUUCCAGUAUCCCCUGCACAUGUUAUCUUUCUCUGACCAGUGUGGAAAAUUUUAAUACUAGGUUCGGUUAGGUAUACGCCUGUGGUCAUACAUCAGGGAAGAGGCUUCUCACGGAAGGGUAAAUUAUCUCAAUCUUCUAGAUAUAGAAGUCAUUUUCCUUUUUGGUCCUUUACAACUGGUAUUUGUAUGAUUUAUACCCACCUGUCAAAUGAAUGGGUGAAGAUAUGUCGUUACAAAGGUUGUUGAAACUUGGCCGCAAAUUUUUUUAUCCAUGCAGAAAGCACCUAUUGACCCUUUUACUCGAGAAAGUUGCAAGCCAUCUGCAUCUCAGGGGGUUCCACUUGGAGGGAUGGGGUAUGUUGCGAAUGAAUAGGUUACCUGAGUUCUAUGGACUAUUAUCUUUGUUAAUCUAAUAGUGGGCAAUUAUCUACACGUAUUACAGAAGUGGCAGCAUAUCUAGAGGUUUUAGAGGCGAGUUCAGGCAAUGGCAAAUCAUUCCUGGUAUCUGCAAAGGUUCUCCUGUCAUGGCCAAUCAGUUCUCUGUAAAAUCUCUACCCUUGAUCUUAUAUAGUUGUAAUUUAAUGUUGUUCUUUGCUUUCGUAACAUAUUUGCUACGCAUGUGUUGAUAUUUUAAGUUUCGUUUAUAUUAUAUAUUGACCUCAGGCUAGCCUGAUUACAUUACCAUCAUCAUUUAUGUCAUUUAUGUAGAUUUUACCACUAUCAUUGCUUCUGGGUUUAAAAUUUGCUCAGUUUCCACACUAUCUAUAUCAAAAUUGGCACCCGCAUCACUUUUGAUAUUGUCGCUUGAACCCACCUUAUUACCAUUGUUGCAACCUGCAACAAUCACCACAGAUAUGGGUUCUAUCACCAUAGUUACCACCUCAUGUUCAGUAUAUGCAAAUCCAACCAAAUCCAAACUGUUCCCUGUCAUUGUUUUUGGCAAGACCAUCCUCAACUCCACAACCACAUACACUGUAGUAUCCAUUUUUUUCUUAAUAUUAACAUACUUAGAGCUCGUUUUAUUUAUGAACUGAAGCCAAUACUUACAAUUGAGUUCAAAAGGUUUCUGGGUUUAAAAUUUGAAGUGCUAGAGAUUCAGUAUUCAGUGCUUAAUCAUCACCCUAGUAAUUGCAUGUGAAUUAGGUAGUCUAUUUGUUUUCUUCCCUCUAGGAGUGGACAUUUUCAUGGGUUAACCGCCCACACAGACCAACCCAACCAAUAAAAUUCAGGUUGGGUUGGUUCUACACUUUCAAAACUUAAUAUCAGGUCGUAACCCGCCCACCAGAUGGAGAAGUUUGAAACCGGUUUGCAACACUAUAUACCAGUUGAAACUCCACCCACCCACGUCAUGUUUAAUAAAAGGGUUUACUGUAUGCAUGACUUCAUUUGAUUUGCUAUUACUAACUCUAGAAACAUGUUCUGGCCCUUUUAACAUCUCUGGACCAUUUGACAUUUGAAACCCUUCACCUUCAAAAUCCUUCUAUUUUUGUUCUCUUUAUCUGUUGCCACCACUGCUAAAUUGCAAAGCCCCACUCUGGAAUUUUGUUGCUGCUCCAAGCUUCUGAGCAUCCAAAUUCAGCCACAACCACUCCCUCUAACUCCCUCACACACUUCUCUUUGGUAUAUCUCAGUCAGUCCCUCCUCGCAGUUGUGAAACCCGAUAAACCCGCUUAGCCCAACCCACAAACGAUUGGUCUGGCUGUGUCGGGCAUCCAAUUUUAUUGGCUUGCACCGGUUUCCUAGAAUCACCAACCCGGUUUCCUUAGAUUGGCCAAUGGAUUGGUGCAUAACCCAAGCCAACCCAUCUGUUGUCCACCCCUACUUCCAUCGAUUUGUUUAGUUGGUUAUGUGGUCUUCCUGCAAUCCCAAUUGUUUACAGUUCUGGUGGAGGCACAUUGCACAUCAAUCCAAAAUCUAGAAUAAAAUCUCUUGUCAGCGAAAAUCAGACUUUUGUUUUCUGCCUGUAAGUUUACUUGUCAUGUUAUAGUGUCUCAAGACCAUAUGGAGAAUUGGAGAUUGUGAUGUUGCUAUAUGGCUAGAAAGAGGACAUCUUUGUAAUACAUUCAAGAGCAGUGGACAAGGAAACUUCAAUUUACGUGCUCAUGGUUGUUACUGAAAUGUAGUUCAUACAAACAUUUGAUAAGGUGGUCUUGAAUUUAAUACAAAAUGAAAGUUUGGACGAUGUGUGAUGGUGUUGUGAAAAUCAAUGCACAAUAUAUACCGGACAAAUUAGUUGUUUAAAGGAUGAUGAAGUGAAGCGGUUUGAAAAUUAUGAAAGGAUAUGCAUUUAAGGCUUGAUGGCAUCUCAAAACUUUAGAAUCUCUGGGAUGCUGUCUAACUAUGUACAGUUCAGUUUGGCUGCUCUUUGCAACUCCAAUCUGUUACUGACACUGUAUUUAGCUGAGGAAUGUUUAUGCAUUAUUUUGUAUAAUGUACAGGAGAAGUGAAUAUUAAUAUUUUAUUAGUUGUUUCUAGAGAUAGAGCUCAUUUCUUUUGUCCUAUUUACUUUUUGUAAUGUUGUAAUUCUGACUCAGAGAUUUAUGUGAUAUUGCAGAUUUUUAUAUCUAGAGAAGGAACGAAUAAAAAUUAUGCAUCAGUCUUGGCCCCCGGUCAUCAUGAAGGAUUAGGGUAAGAGGGUAGUCGUUAAGUUAAGAAACCAUCUUCUGUAAUAAUUACAAUUUCUUACCACCGAAUGAUGAAUUUAUCAUACCUAUACAAUUCUUCAUGCUUUUUACCUUUGUUGACUGCAAGUCAAGACCAAGCUUGUGGGACCAUAUGUAAUAUUGUGUCUUCCUUUUAUGGCAUCAAGGGGAAUCUAAGAAGUCUAAUUGGCAAAUGUUCCUUUGGUACCAGGUCUAGUGGUCUGCUGUGACACUUCUUCAGGAACAUUAUAAGUAUCAAAAUUUAUAGGGAAUAAGAAAUUAUUGAAGCAUCAACGAACAAUAGACUUUAUUGUUACAUGAGGCAAUAUUUCAUUUUAACUGGACUAUCGUCAGAGUGUAGCAAGUUUGUAUUAUCAGAGGGUGUCUCAUUUGUAUUAAUGCAUAUCACUUUUGAGUUUUGUUGAUGGCUACGAGGAAUUUGAUGAAUAGUGCAUGAACUUGGUUUAACUAUUUUUGUAGCUCUAAAUUUACCUAUAGUAUUUGAAAUGUCCUGAUUAUUGACAUCUUGAUUUAAUUCGACUGUUUUCACAGAAAAGCUGAUGAUGAGGGUAUAUCAUCAUGGGGAUGGAACCUGGGUGGCCAGCAUUCAACAUACCAUGCACUAUUUCCAAGGGCAUGGACCAUAUAUGAUGGUAUCAUUCUUCUUUCUUUCCUUUUAGCCAUUGAUCACGUAAUUUGCCCUUUAAGCUGCUGUUUCAAUUUGGGUUGUAUUAUGUUUCAUUUUAGGUGAACCUGACCCAGAAUUGAAAAUUUCUUGUCGGCAAAUAUCACCAUUCAUCCCUCAUAAUUAUAGAGAAAGUAGUCUUCCUACAGCCGUUUUUGUUUACACGGUAGGCUCAUUCAACUUGAUACCAGAUAUGUACAGAUGAAAAAGUUCAUUGUUCCAUGAGCUCUUUCUGUAUUAGACAAGUGUUAACAUAAGGAUCUUACACAAGAAUUUCAGUAUAAUUUUCUAUGAUAUGAUUUGUUUAUAAGAGUCUUCUUUCUGAUACAGUUGGUGAACACUGGAAAAGAAAGAGCAAAAGUCAGCCUCCUAUUUACAUGGGCGGUAAGGUUAUAUUUUUUUAUUGGAAUAGUUUCCGAGCAAUUCAAAGAUUCUUGGAUAUUUAGUAAUUAUUGCUUUUCUGGGUGUAGAAUUCAAUUGGAGGAGUCUCACACUUGUCGGGCGAUCAUGUGAACGAACCAUUUAUGUGAGUAAAUUUGGUGGAUGUUGUAUGGCUAGUUGCCUACUAUACUAGUACCGUGUUUUUAACUUAUUCUAACUUACUUCUCUGCUUUGACAGUGGCGAAGAUGGAGUCUCUGGUGUACUUCUACAUCACAAGCAAGUCACCAAACCUUAUUACAUUUAUUUGACGGUUGGUUUGCAGAUUUCUCUGCCGAUACACUGUUUUCUAGGCCAAAAUGAAGACAUAGUGUUCAAACAACCCCAAACAAGUGAAAGAAGUCAACCAUUAGGAAAAAUAAGAUGCUUCUGCCUGACUAUGAACUUAAAAUCAAAAUUCCUUGUAAAAAUAUCCGGAAAUGAAAUAAAAAGCACAAAUAAAGAAGUAUGGACAGAUGUCAUAGGAGCAUAUAAGCAGAUAUAUUUAAAGAUUUUAGAUAGAUUGAUCGUCUGGUAAGAGUAAAACAUAUUUACUAAUUUAUUGGAAUUGAUAUGUUAAAUGCUAAUUCUUGCCUUUUUGAGUUCCGCGUUCUCCUAUUUUUAGUAAGUCUUUUCCAGUCAUCAACAAUAAGUGCUGUGGAAAAUUCAUAAUUGGUAUUUGGGGUCUCCACAUUUGUUAACAUUGAAAGUGUCUGCUUGUGAUCACCUUAUUUGAUACCUGUUCUUGUUUUUGUUCAACCAUAUGUUUUCAACUCCUCUUAGUUUGUUCAAAAUAAUGAGCUUUAUAUUCUUAUCGUUCUUGGUAACCUGAUCUGAUCUAAAGUAUUAGGUUAUCACUCUGAUUUUGCGAGUUGUUGUCAUUCACUAUUUUUAAACUUUAACUCGUUACAGUUGAUUUUAACUGUUUAUAACAACUAUGCCUAUGUUGCAGGACUGCAAAAGGGAAUCCUCCUGUUACAUUUGGAAUAGCUGCGUGUGAAACUCAAAAUGUAAGCGUGAGUGUGUUGCCGUGUUUUGGGUUAUCUGAAGGAAGUACCACUACGGCGAAAGAAAUGUGGAAUAAAAUGGUGCAGGUAUUAAAUCUGUGGUUUGCUUUCUCAAUUCUGUGCACCUUGUUGUUUUUGAUUGUGUAACAUAAUGCUAGGUGCGUCAUUUUUCUAUUUAGCCGAAUCAAUUUGCUGUCCUAUCCAGCAAAUGCUGUCAUUCAGCAACCUGGUGGAUUAAGUUCGAAUUUUGAGAAUAAUUCUACUUGGAUUUUGCCAUGGUGUUCCUUCCAUUGUUUUACAGAGUGAAUUUUUUUCCUUUCCUUAACCCUUCUCUGUCUUUUCAGGAUGGGCAAUUUGAUCGUGAUAAUUUCAAUUCUGGACCAUGCAUGUCUUCAUCACCUGGAGAAACACUCUGUGCUGCAGUAGCAGCUACUGCUUGGGUGGAACCUCAUGGGAAGUGCACCGUUGCAUUUGGCCUAUCAUGGUCAUCUCCAAAAGUAAAAUUUUUGAAGGGAAGCUCAUACCAUAGGUAAGCUUAUUGUAAUUUACACAUGAAAAGCUGCUUCAAAAUGAUGCAUAUUAAGCAGUACUGUACCUUUAUGAUUUAUAAAUGAAUGCCUUUAAGUAUUUUAUUCUAGAGAGCGACUGCAAUACUAGUGAUGUGCAUUUUGGGUUAUUUGAAUUUGUAAUUUUGCUGCAGGAGGUACACAAAAUUCUACGGGACCUCUGAAAGGGCAGCUCAGGAUUUGGUGCAUGAUGCGCUGACAAGUAUGUAUCUCUCUGUCUGUAUUGUGACCUUUUCAUCAAGGCACUAAUCUGUUAAUAUUCACUAGAUUUAGUUUUUGGCAUACUUUUUCUUGUUUAACAAUGGGUGCAGUAUAUGUGAUGGGUCCUGAUCACUUUUGAAAUCUGGACAGAUUAUAAGCGAUGGGAAGAAGAUAUUGAAAGGUGGCAAAGCCCUAUCCUCAGGGAUGAAACAUUACCAGAAUGGUAAGAACGGAAGCAUUAACUGUGAUUGUUCUUUGUUAAAUCAUAAUGUUCCAUCAGAUAAUAAAUUAGUUUCCUAAGUUGGUGAAUUUGCCUAAAAAUACCCUGCAGGAGAAUUCAGAGCUUAAGUUUAGGGUAGCGUUGUCAAUUCUUAAAAGUUUUGAAAAAUAAGUUCACCGGUUCGCAUAAAGAACGGCUUACAUAAAGAAAGAUGUUUGCAUGUGUGUGCGCGAUAUGUGCCCUUUGGUUUGUUAUAAUGGAUAAUGCUGUCCACCUCAAACAUUGGAGUUGGUUUUGCAUCUCAUUUCUUUAGAGAUCAUGAUGUUAGAUACCUUCCUUAUUAUUCUCAACGAACAGCCCACAACCGUGUCCACUGAAAGCUGUUUUGAGCUCACUCGAAUGAUUGGUCCAGUUUCAAUGGUCUCUGCAAAUAUUGUAGUCAAUGCAUCAUAUAUGCUCAUUUCCAUUACAAAUAGAAACUCCCCAACAAAUAAUCCAUUGUGUAAACAUGGAGAAGUUACUUUGCUAUGUUUACCUGUCAAUGAUUAGCUAUGAACUUGGUUCAUCGAUCUUGUAGCUAAUACUUCACAAAAUGUUUGCAGGUACAAGUUCACAUUAUUCAAUGAGCUCUACUUUUUGGUGGCUGGUGGGACAGUUUGGAUCGGUAUUUAUCUAAUCCUGAUUUCCUUGAUAUCUCACAUCUGGAAAUAGCAUCUAAGAAUGUUUUUCAUGUGGACACUAGCUCUAAUCCGAAUGUGCACUUUUUUGUUAAAUAUGUCCUUCCCUUUUGGCUAAUUUUACCUUAGAAAUGAGUUAUAACUGUGAUUGAUUGGUACAGAUUCUCCCUUGCCUGCAACAAACAUUACAAACAAUCGACACCAAUUGACAAAUGUUGAAAAUACAGAUGUUAAGGUUAGUGAAGCUGAAGUAAAUAGCAAUCACAACGCAGCUGUUGAGCACACUGCAACUGGUUGCCAAAGGAGUGUACAUUUGGACCCACAAAAUGCCAGUGAAGAUGUUGGGAGGUUCCUCUAUCUGGAAGGAGUGGAAUAUAUCAUGUGGAACACAUAUGACGUACACUUUUAUGCAUCAUUUGCCCUUCUCGAGCUGUUUCCCAAAAUUGAACUUAAUAUUCAAAGGGACUUUGCAAAAGCCGUCUUAUCAGAAGAUGGAAGAAAAGUAAAGUUUCUUGCAGAGGGUAACUGGGGAAUUCGUAAGGUUAGAGGAGCUGUCCCUCAUGAUCUGGGAACACACGAUCCCUGGAACGAAAUGAAUGCAUAUAAUAUUCAUGAUACUAGUAAGUGGAAGGAUUUGAACCCAAAGUUUGUGCUUCAGGUGUAUAGAGAUUUUUCUGCAACAGGGGAUAUGUCAUUUGGAGUAGAUGUUUGGCCUGCUGUUCGUGCUGCAAUGGAGUACAUGGAACAAUUUGACCGAGACAAUGAUGGUCUCAUUGAAAAUGAUGGUUUCCCUGAUCAGACCUACGAUGCUUGGACAGUUCAUGGAGUAAGUGCUUACUGUGGGUGCUUGUGGCUAGCUGCACUUCAAGCUGCAGCCGCAAUGGCCCUUCAACUAGGCGACAAGGCCUUUGCCGAAUGGUGCAAAGCCAAAUUUUUAAAGGCAAAACCAUCUUUUGAGGAAAAAUUGUGGAAUGGUUCUUAUUUUAAUUACGAUAGUGGAUCAAGUAGUAACAGUAAGUCUAUACAAGCAGAUCAACUGGCUGGGCAGUGGUAUACGGCGUCUUCUGGUUUACCUUCACUUUUUGAUGAUUUUAAAGUCGAAAGCUCUCUGCAGAAAAUCUAUGAUUUCAAUGUCAUGAAAGUUAAAGGAGGAAAAAUGGGUGCCGUAAAUGGAAUGCAUCCCAAUGGGAAGGUGGAUGAGUCUUGCAUGCAGUCACGUGAAAUAUGGACUGGUGUCACAUAUGGGGUGGCUGCUCUGAUGAUUCUUGCUGGAAAGGAGAAAGAGGCUUUCGCUACUGCUGAAGGUAUUUUUAUUGCCGGCUGGUCUGAAGAUGGCUUCGGGUAAGUAGAACUUAUACUUACAUUAUUUAGAGUAACCUAUAGACUAUUGUUAAUGUGAUCCAACUCUUUAUCCAUGUCAUGUGCAUUGAAAAACUCAUGGUUUCUAGUUUUUAAGUUGAUUUCUUUUUUUCCUCCGGCAAAUUAAGUUAUUCAGGCAAACUUGCUCUGCUGUUUGAGUUUUUCAUAAUCAUGUCUGACAUGACUUUUGCGGAGGACAAAUAAUGUCUGACAUGACUUUUUGUUGUCAUGUUUUAGUAUUAACAGAGUUAGUAUUUUGAUUCUACUACCUACAGAUACGCUUUCCAGACGCCCGAAGGAUGGACGAUGGACGGCCACUUCAGAUCUCUAAUAUACAUGAGGCCACUAUCUAUUUGGGGGAUGCAAUUCGCGUUGAACAUGCCCAAGGCAAUUCUCGAGGCUCCUCAGAUCAACAUAAUGGACAGAAUACAUUUAUCGUCUGUCAGUUCACGAUCCUCUCACAGCGAAACAGGUGUGAGAAAGAUUGCAACCAAGGCAAAGUGCUUUGGAGAUUCUGUUUUUAACUGUGCAUGCUGAUAUUGCUGAUAUUGUAACAUGUAACUUGGUUGUAUCGUAAAACAAGUGUGGUGAAAUCUUCGCUUCCUCGAACCCUCUCGAUGUCAAGUAAUAUAUAAGCCGGGAGAGGUUUGGGGGAAGUCCUGAAGAAAUAGCCAAAUAGGUUAUUAAAAAAAAAAAAAAAAAAAAGAAAAAAAAAGUUGUUUUCGCACCAUGUUCAUGUUCAGGUAUCUAAUUCUGAGUUAAUACAGAAAAAUCUUGAGGAGGAUGCCUAAGAUCCAAGACUUACAGCUUAAGCUUUGGUUCCAGAUUUGCCAAAGCUCCACAGAGACUUCCCAAUCUAUGGCUCAACUGCAAUUGGUGGUAAUUUACCCUAAGGUUCUAUUGUACCCCACGGUGCCUGCCUUAUGUUCCGGUGUUUUUAGUCGUUAGAUUUUGAUAAUUGUAUUUUUUCUAUGGAUCUAAUAACUAAAAAUUCCGGAGCAUAAUGGAAAACUCCGUAAUUAUUUUACAUGAAUAAAAUCUGUGGUAAAAAUUGCCACCUUCCUGUUCCUAAUCUCUCCUCUACAUAAACCAUGAGCUCAAUUAACUGCAUGCGUUCUGGCUUGAACAAUUGCUUGUGUAUUUUCAUUGCUCGACGACUUCUUCACCGGAAAAUAUACUACGUUCCCCCCCAAUACCUGUAAAUCAUAGUUUGAAACAAGCACAUAUACUUCUUCAAAAUUACGUGUCAAAUUGUGACCCUUAUACAAUUAGUAAUAAUGACUGUUGAAAAAGGAGCAAAAGAUAAAUGUCUUAGUGGUCCUCCUCAGGCCUCAAUGUCAUCACAUUUUGGAAGUUAACUGUCCUUGACUCUUGAUGCAAGUUGACGCUAACAAGAACGGUCUAUUGAGAAGAACAACUUGUAUGGAACGUGUUUAUCAAUUACCACCAAAUGACAUUACAAUCUAAUAAUAUUAUGUCCCGUGAAGAAAAAUUUACAUAUAACAGAGUUUUAUUAUAAGAAAACAACAUAAUGACAGUGAACUUGUUUCAUUAAGAAUUUUAAGCGGUUUAAAAUAGAAAUGAGACACCUUCACCACUCAUCAUUAUCCUCAUCAUUUGUCAAAAAGAGUUCCGUUCCAUUCCAUUCCAAAGAAGAAAAUAGAAAAAAGAAGAUGGUCUUGUCACUCUUUGUGGGGUCCAGAUUAUCUUAGUUGCACUUUUGCGUCCGCACACCUUUUUAGCAAAAUGUUCAACUUAACCCAUGAGUUUAUAUCCAUCACAAACUAUGCUGAUAAUGUUGCUUGAAACCUAAUGUAUCGGUUCGUGUUCUGAAUACACGAAUUUUUUUUAAAUGUCAAUCCUUUAGUGUACAUAAAUUAAUUUUUUUCGUUAAAUGAAAUUUAAGUAGGAGUAGAUAAUGUUGAUUGUUAUUGAUGCGAUGUAGAAGAAAGCAAGCAUGGUUUUGUGGUUUAUGGGUUGCGAUGAAUGUGGACAGGUACCGGGCUCUAUUACAUUCCAUACUUUGACCAUUCAUAAUCCAAAUUUUAAGCCUUUUUUUAAUCCUAAAUCCAAGUAUUUAAGAAUAUUUCGAUUAAUUUAAUCUACAGAUUUAUUUGGUUAAUGUUCACAUUAAUUUGAGAUCUAAAGACCAAUAGUAUUCAACCUUUAAAAUAUACACGAAAUUGUAUUUUGGUCGAAAUUCCUAAAAUUCAAGGAUCGAUAUGAAAAUGGGGUUGAAAUGCAAACUUAAACUUAUAUCGAUGAGAUAUAGAAAAAUCAAUGAAUAUCAAUAAUAUUUGCUGGAAACCAUUAAUAUUAUUGAGGUUUUCGGAUUAUUUUCGAUCAUCUGAACCCUUGGGUUGGAGAUGAUGCAAAAUCCAAAUACCUUUUUCCUUUUUCUUUUGUGUAUUAUUAUUUCUUCAACUUAGAUUUGAUUGGAGCGGAUGAUCGGACCACAAAGAAAGACAAGGUCACAACGCAUCCACAUGCGACUUUGAUUCGGAAAAUAGAUACGUGUCAAACCAUCAAUUCUUGGUGAUCUCUUUUGAAUUUUCAACUUGGAUGCAGAUUGUAUGUCCUCUUGUUACCGUACCAUUCUUUAUCUUCUCUUAUUUGUGUUGUCAUGAUUAAGCCAAAUUAAUAUUUUAUAUUUCUAUUAUUUUUUAUCUUAUUAUUUCUAUUAAAAAAUAAAUAUAAAAUGUUGACGUGACUUAAUCGUGACCACACAAAUAAGAAUGAAUGAGAUGAAUACGGUAACAGAAUGACAGACAAUCUGCCUCCUCCUUUCAACUCCACUCCCUCCCCUUGUUAUUUUAAAACGGGAAAUGGCUUAAACAUGUGUCAUUUUUCUAUUUUUAUACGCAUCUCUUUAAUUUUCUUCACUGUUUUUAUUUGUUGAUUCACAUUAAUAGCCAAGAAUAAAUAGGAGUGUGUGAGGUUAUAAACAAUGUGUAAAAAUAGGUAACAAGAACGUGAAAAUCAUCUAAAUUUAACUGUGGUGAUUUUAGCUCAAAUAAGAGUACUAACUUACACUAUGUUUGGAUAAGAAAAAUAAACUUGGAAUUUGGGUAAAAAUCAGAAUUUAUAAAUUGACAUGCACCGAUUCCCUUGCUUGAUUCAUAAACAUAUAAAUUUAGAAUUUCCACAUGGAAAAAAACUUAGAAUUUGAGACCUCCAAUUUUCAAGUUUAAAUUUCAUAUAAAUAUGUGUCAUUUCUUAAUUUCUAUGAUUGAAAGUUUAAAAAUAACAAAUUUCAUAUUCAAUUCUAAUGUUUUUUUUUUAGGUUUAACAAACAAGAAAAUUCAUAAAUUCUAGAAAAUAAAAUUCCGUAUUUUUAAUUCCGUCAUUUUAAAAUUCCUUAGUAAUCUUAAUUUUUGUCAUCCAAAUAUAAUGUUAUAUUUCAUUUAGUUUUAUCACGAAUUUGCUAUUUUUAUACCAAACUAUAAUAAUAAAACUAAAUGGAUUAAAUCACGAAAAUUAAGUAAUGAACAUGUAGUUAAGUUGAUUAUAUAAGGCAUUUAUCAUAUCCCAAAUUUAAUUUUCUCUUCCUUCAGUCCAAUAUAACUUAUAAAAAGUCACAGAAUUAAAAGUAGGAAUAUAAUCAGACAAAAUCUGUUUAAAAAAAAGUCAGACAAAAAAUUAAAUUUAUGUUUAUAUUUUUUUAGAAAAAGAGGAUAUUUAUAAAAAAAAAAGAACUUUUAACAAAAAAUUUCGAAUACUGCUCAUUUUAAUGAAAAAAUACAUUUUUAUUUUAAAAAAUUAAUGUCAUUUUCGUUAGAACUGUUUUCAAACCAUUUCUUAUUUAUAAACCAAGAUCCAAUUACUUCCUUCCAACUAAACAGCGACGCGAUUCCCUCGGACUCUGCAAACAAGAACAAUCACCCUCCCAUCCCUUCCUCCUACAUCGUUGCUUAACCAUCUCUCUCCUCUCUCUCUCUCUCUCUCUCUCUCUGCCGGUCCGAACCCCAGAAGAAGCCAAGCCACACUAGUCGCAUCGCCAUCUCCGACUUCACUCCGGUACGAUCCAUCUCUCCUUUCUUUAUUUUCCCCGCGAAAUUGUUCUGCUUAUUAUUAUUAUUAACCUAUGAUGAUUGUGUAUGUUUAUAUGUAUUAGUUUUUGUUCGUUCUUGGUGAUGAAAGUUCAUGCUUUUCACCGCCUUUUUAUUUGGACUUUUGUUAAUUUUGCUUUUCAUUAUCUGGGAAUUUUAUUGGGUUAGUUGGGUCUUGUUCCUUCAGAUUCAAAAAAAAAAUGUUUCUUUUUAUAUUGGUUCCUCCACUUUCUCAGCUGCCAAACAGAGUGCUAGCCUUUUCCUCUGUGCAAUUCCUUGAAAAUAUGUAUUAUUUUUAUAUUUUUAUGAUGAUGAUAUUGUGGUUGCUGUAGAUUCAGUUGGAUUUACUCUGUUAUCAUGUCGAGGAAGAUGCUAAUUGAUGGUGAGGUGAACCAACCUAAUGAACAAGAGGCCCACUACGACUUCGACUUGUUUGUUAUUGGGGCCGGAAGCGGUGGUGUCCGUGCCUCCAGAUUUUCAGCUAAUUUUGGAGCUAAGGUACAUUCAUGAUGCACAACCCAAACAACAUUUUCGUCGAUUAUGUUUUCCCUGUACUUUGCUUGCCUUUUUCUGAUAGAGGAGCAUAUUAUGGGUUCAUUUCAUUUGAUUUCAUAGGUUGGGAUAUGCGAGCUUCCAUUUCAUCCUGUCAGCUCAGAAGUAAUUGGAGGAGUGGGUGGAACGUAUGUUCAUUAGCAAAUUGAAUGUUUUCUUUGGUGGUCUGCCACAUUUCCGCUACUGUUAAAACUUAUGAAAUUUCAAGUUGCUUAUACGGGUUUAUGUUUGGACGUUUGGUUUUCAGAUGUGUCAUUCGUGGUUGUGUUCCCAAAAAGAUUUUGGUGUAUGGAGCGUCUUUUGGUGGUGAAAUUGAGGUGAGAAUAUGACAUAUACAUGACUAUUUAUAGUUGAUGUUAAAUAGUCUGGUGAAUCCGUAACUCAAGCAUCUAGGAGGAUCUUAGAAGCUGAUUUCUUGUGAAUUAGCAAGAAGACAAAAACAAACAGAAACAAUUUAGUUGACACUCGAACAAAUUGAUCUGCAUAAUCUAUCGCAAUGCGAGGUCUAUAGCAUCUGCAGUGUGUGUGCGUGUGUUCUUUUUCCUAUGUAUUUUGGUAUUUCCAGUGGAAAACCUGUUUGUCAUGCUUGCAUUGAUAUUUAUUUCUUCUUAUUAAUAAAGAAUUAAUAAAAGACAUGGCCUAAUGGAUUUAUUGGUUUUGUAAUUGCAGGAUGCCAGGAAUUAUGGCUGGGAAGUGAAUGAGAAAGUUGAUUUCAACUGGAAGAAACUUUUGCAGAAGAAGGUUGGUUAGGAUAGAGUUUGAGUUGUAAAUUCACCGUACCUAAUGCCAUGUGAUUGAAAUAUCAUUUUAUCUGAAAUAUUUAGAUGUGUGUUGCCUUGCAAAAUUAUUACUGAUAUGCCAAUUGUGAACUUCUACUUGCUUGGCCUAAUUGUUCUAAAACCCCACAGAAAAAGAAAAAAAAAGUGUUAAAUAUGUAUUGGCUUUGGGUUUUAUUUUACAAUUCUUUACUUGGUGUCUGCAAUCCGGAAACAUUUUCCCCCAGUUCAUUUAAAAUACCUUUUAUUAUUCAUUAACUGGUGAUUACAACUUGAAAUUAACAUGUAUUUGUCUUCUUUUAUAGACGGAUGAAAUAGUUCGAUUAAAUGGAAUAUACAAGCGCCUAUUGUCGAAUUCUGGGGUUAAAUUCUUUGAAGGAGAGGGCAAGAUAGUUGGUCCUAAUGAUGUCGAGGUGACACAGUUGGAUGGCACUAAAUUGAGCUAUUCUGCGAAACACAUAUUGAUUGCAACUGGCAGCAGGGCUCAACGACCUGCUAUUCCUGGUCAGGUAGAUUUUCUGCACACUGGGAUUCGAAAUGAUAUGCUAAAUGUUUAGUUGGUACUUUAUUACACUUUUUUUUUGCACCAGGUGCUUUAUGAAAUUAUGCAGUUAUUUUUUUUUUAAAGGAAAAUUUAUUGAUCAUCAAAGUGAUAGUUUGUCUUUGAUUUCUUUAUUCAUUGCAAAGAAAACGUAACAAUUGAAAGAAACUGAAGGAGAGUCCUUUAUAUUUGAAGUACAGCCAAACAAGCUUUUUGUCAAUCCAUUUAAGAUUAACAGAGCUGGUGUUUAUAGUAUUCAACUGUCCUUCAUUUACAACUCCACAGGCAGUAUUGCCUGAGUUUGAUUAAAUGCUUAAGAAUGGUUGGUGCAAUUCUAUUAUGUGCCGCUUAUGUAGUUACCAUGUUUUCUUCUAUUGUUCUAAUUUAUAUUAAUUGACAUUUAUAGGAAUUGGGUAUAUCAUCUGAUGAAGCAUUGAGUUUGGAGGAGUUACCUAAACGUGCUGUGGUGCUCGGGGGAGGGUUUGUCUUAGUCUCUUCCUUUGUGUUGUUUGUUUGAUUUUAUCAGCUUAGCAAGCUCAUGAUUUUUUCCAUUAUCCUCUCUUCAUAUUAGGUACAUUGCUGUUGAGUUUGCUUCAAUAUGGCGUGGGAUGGGUGCUUCUGUGGAUCUAUUCUUCAGAAAGGAACUUCCAUUGAGGUUGUUAUUUGGACGCUAUUGCUCUUUCCAUUUAUGAACUGUUAGGCUCUUUGAUCUUUAUGGUUGAGUUAGUGGGAUGGAAAAUUUUUCUGUCUAUUAUUUAAUAUUUGUUAAGAGUGUCCCACACUAAGGUAUUGAUUGUGUGCUGAGUUGGAUAUUUAACAAUUUGGGAUUUUUUUUUUUACCGCAAGGUAGAUAUUUUUAUUGUGCUCGAAUUUUGAAUAAAUCAAGUGGGAUGACUCUGAAAUUAGGAUAUAGACAAUGAACUGUACAUUCUUUGUUAAUGAGUUUUUUUGGACCAUUAAUCAUCAAUUUCCUAGUCGGUGCACCAUUGUUACUACCAAAGAGUUUUAUAUCUUGCAUGAUUUACGGAACCUAAUGCUCUUUUUUUUUCUUUUUUUUUUUUGAAAAGAAAAUUUGGCUUGUUUCCUUAUUAUUCGUGCCUCUUACGGAGCUUCCUGAUCGAAAGACAUUUAAAUUUAGUUUUUGAUUAUGCUCCACUGACCUUGCAUUUGAUAGCCAGAAGUUGUAUCCUUUUCAUGUAUGAGAAGUCUAUUGCAUUCUCAAUAUAUCUGGCAAUUCUUUUGCAGAGGUUUUGAUGAUGAAUUGAGGGCAGUGGUUGCACGGAAUCUGGAAGGAAGGGGUAUUGAUCUACACCCGCAGACAAAUUUGACAGAGGUAUUCAGUCUCAUAGGAAGUGUGGAUUGAACCUUUUUUGCUAACCUUGCUUUUGUAGUUUAUAUGUUUUAACUUCUGUUUGAUCUUUGCUUCUCAUUGUAAUGAAUUAUUUCUGUGAAUUCAGCUAGUAAAAACAGAGGAUGGCAUAAAAGUUCGCACAGAUCAUGGGGAAGAGCUGAUAGCAGAUGUUGUACUGUUUGCCACUGGUAACUACAUACUUGUUUGGUUGAAUUUCUUAUAGUGGACCUCGAAGUUAAUGUUACUUGCUAAUCUAAAAAAAUUUAAACUAUGCACAAAAAUAAAUGAAAAACCAUGAGCUCAUACUUAUUACUGAUGUUAGCAAUAAAAGAUUUCAUAUUUUAGCAUAGGUUGGUGGAUGAUACAUUUCUAAUGUAGGUUAAUGGAAACAUUUUCCUCUUCAACUAAUGUCAAUAAGAAAACUUUUCCUCUCCAAGAAUCCAACUCAAGUCAAUAUCACUUGUUAAAGUUUCUCUUCAUUGAAAUUGAUUGACCCAAUGGUCCCAAUCCUAAUAUUGAAAUGCACGAGUCUAUGUCAGAGGUUAGAUCAUGGUUGCACAGAAAUUACGAUUUGUUCGAAACAUUUAUUUUCACUUGCAUUUUAAUUUAUUUUUCAAUUUUAAUGUGAAAAAUACACCAACAUUGAUGCACUUCGAAUUUCACCUUAUUGCAUGUCCUGAGUUUAAAUGAUUAUAAUAAUUCCGACUGUUGCACUAUAACGUUUAUCCAGACAUUUUGGGAAUUUAAUGUGAUUCAUACGUAUAAUGGUCUGUUCACUUGUAGUAUAAACUUGCGUUUUUUUCUCAUAACUUGGAGCAUUUUAGGGGUGAACAUCAUAAUGAUAUCUUUGUAGUUAUGGUUUUACCUUAGUUUCCUGCAUAGAGAUGAUUUUAUCUUGGUAUAAAUGACAGGUCGGUCUCCCAAUACAAAGAGGUUGAAUUUGGCAGCUGUAGGCGUGGAAGUUGAUAAAACAGGAGCUAUAAAGGUUUCUAGCUUCGUUUUUUGCAUUUUGUGCUUAUUAUCAUUUGAUAUUUUCAUGUGUUUCAACUUUUGAAAUGGAUUUUUUUGUGCCUGAGUUUUUAGUAUUUUCUAGACAUUUGAAGUUAUUGCGAAUCCGGUGGUAGUAUCUCCUGUUAAUUUGUAGUUGCGAAUGUGAGAGUUCAAUAUUUAGUUUGAGUCCCCCUGCCCUUUUACUGUUUGAGAAGGUAAAUGGCUUUGCUUGCACAUUUUCGGGUUUCAACUUUUGAAAUGGAUUUUUUUGUGCCUGAGUUUUUAGUAUUUUCUAGACAUUUGAAGUUAUUGCGAAUCCGGUGGUAGUAUCUCCUGUUAAUUUGUAGUUGCAAAUGUGAGAGUUCAAUAUUUAGUUUGAGUCCCCCUGCCCUUUUACUGUUUGAGAAGGUAAAUGGCUUUGCUUGCACAUUUUCGGGUUCCCUAAUUACUGUUUGGGUGUUCAGUAAUAUCUCAAUUAUCUGUCGUAUUGUGGCCCCCUGCCUUUGUGGUCAUUAAUGCAACCAUCAAAGGUCGACCCCGUAGCAGAUUGACCAGUUCAACGCAUACACUUGAUAUGCAGCUGGGGUUUGGAAUCAUAACUUCUAUUUUCAGGUCCCAUCCUGGUCAAUUUUAGGUGUGUGCCCUGUAAUUAAGUGAUGAGACUGGUUUAUUGACUUUGGUAAAUAUGUACGAAGUACAAGCUGGGGUUGCAUAUGUUAUGCCACCAAUGACCUAUCAUAUAGAGCCCUUUCUUUUGGGUGGUCUCCGUUAAAGGAUGGAGCCAGGGAUAUAUAUUUCCUAUUUUGUGGAAAAUAUUGAAACCAAAUAAAGCCUUUUCUUUUAGUUAAAAAACAAUAUAGGUUUACAAAGUUGACUUUUGUUAUACUAAUUCAUCUUACCUUGUUUGUCCGUUUCUCUUUUCCUACAGUUAUUUUUCGUUUGUCUGAUCCUUUGUCCUAAUUUGAUAUUCCAUGCUGGCAUGAUAGAUUGCACUUGAUGUAACAGGAAUAGUUAACUUUUUACUCUUCGAGCAAUAAUAACAUAUAGGUCUCUGCUGUCUUUUCUCUUCCAGGUGGAUGAGUAUUCACGUACCAAUGUACCUAGCAUCUGGGCUGUUGGCGAUGUUACAAACCGAGUAAACCUUACCCCUGUGGCUCUAAUGGAGGGAACAUGCUUCGCAGUAUGUAUUUACUUUAUCCACUUUCCUUUAACUUUAUCAAUUGUGUAAUAUUUUCCCCAUAGAUUCUGUGCUAUCUCAACAAGCUGAUGAUUUGAUGCUGUUAUUCAUUUACUUUAUGUUCCGUACAGAAAACAGUUUUUGGUGGGGAACCUAGCAAACCAGAUUACCGCGAUAUACCCUGUGCAGUGUUUUGGUAAUAAUUUUUUCUUUUAAUAAAUGGGCCUUCCUUUGUUUAUUUAAUAGGUGACUAUUUUUUAUAAUGGGGCUGGUCCUGAUAGAUACGUUUCAUACUUCUGUUUGGUGGUCUGCAGCAUACCACCUCUUUCUGUUGUGGGCCUUACUGAAGAGCAGGCAAUAGAACAAGCCAAGGGUGAUAUAUUGGUUUUCACAUCAACUUUCAACCCAAUGAAGAACACUGUAUCUGGGUACGUAUGUCAUUAUGAGGUCUUGCUCUAAAUUAAGUUCAUGGUCUAACAAUCAUAUGCUAUCUUUGGAUCAUAGCAUGUCUCCACAUCUUUGGAUCAAUAUGAGAGGUCACUUAUCAGUUGCACAAUUAUAUAGGAAAAUUUCUGAUUUCAUUCAUCGUCUGGUUAUAAGCUAUAUUGUUAACCUUGAACCUCUAGUUACUCAUUAUGAGCAAAAUUUGUAGUCUUCCCUCGGUGUUUUAAGCACGAACUCAUAGUGUUCUCAUAAUUCUUAUGUAGACGACAAGAAAAGACAAUUAUGAAGCUUAUUGUUGACGCUGAGACGGAUAAAGUUAUUGGGGCAUCCAUGUGUGGGCCAGAUGCAGCUGAGAUUAUGCAGGUAUAUAUUCUGUUACUUGUACAACGUGUAAAUAUGAAAUGAUCUGUUCUGUUUUGUUAAAUUUAACAGUUUUGAGAUGAACCAUGCUCUAUGAUUGCCCAAGAUUUCCAUGUUUUUACUACCUAAGUAAUGGAAUAAUUUGACUACCAAGUCCUUGAGUGUGUGUGUGUGAGUGCGCGCGCGUGUGGUACUUGAGUAUCAUUUCUGGGAUAGUAGGCUUCUUUGAGUUUGAUCUGACAAAGUAUUUUCAUACCAAGGCUUCGACAUGUUUAGGAGAUGAGGAUGAGUCCGGUAACAAUCUUAAGAUAAGAAUAAAAAUUCAAAGUUGUACAGCCUCUGGAAGAGCGUGUUUAAAAUUGAUUUUCAAGUAAGGUGUAUGGUCAUGUGGAGGAGAUCUUAGUUUAUGUCACAGGAAAGCUAAAACUAAUUAGCUGAUAGGAAGCUUUAACGUGUUGGUGAGGUUUUCUGUAACUCGAACUUAUAGUGCUUCUAAACGCGGUCUAUAGUACGUUUGAUCUCCUUUUAAUUUUACCAUCUGUUUUGGGUGCUUAAACAGGGAAUCGCUAUUGCAUUGAAGUGCGGAGCAACUAAGGCACAAUUUGACAGUACGGUAAGUCGUGUAUUUAGAGCUGGGGACGAUUCAAUUUCUGAGCUAUACUUUUACUGAAAAUGUUUUUUCUUUCAUUCAUUGUGCAGGUGGGAAUUCACCCUUCCUCAGCAGAGGAGUUUGUGACAAUGCGUUCAGCGACAAGGCGUAUUGCUGCAGGUACCAAACCAAAGACAAAUCUGUAGGAUGCGAACAACAGACGGAAAGAAUAGUAUACAAGGUCUGGAGGAGACUGUUUUGCUCUUACCAGAGGAAACUUAGGUAUAUUUGGGAAAUGGAAAUCGGUUGAAUUUUGUCAGAAUAAAAGCUUCUUCGAACGCAUAUCUGAUUAGGGCCGUAUAGGUUUUCUGAUGAUUUAUGAAGAUACAAAACUGUUGUAUUCAUACACAUACACUGGUUCGAUCCAACAUUUGAUAUCUAUGAUUUUGUUGCUGUGUUUUACAUCCUCAGCUGCGUUAGUUGAUAUUCGAUAUUGUUUAAUUGAUUGCGCGUUUGAUUCUGUUUCGCCUUUUCGACGAGGAAUAGGAUUCUGUACUUUGUAAGGGGUCUGUUAUAAGGAAAACUAAUGAACAGUACCGAAAGGGUUUCAUUAUAAGGAAAACUUGUUUUGUUAAAACGCGAUUGAUUCUGUUUCUCCUUUUCGACUAGCAAUAGGAUUCUGUACUUGUGAGGGGUUUUAUUAUAGCUUAAAACGACACGAAAUAUAUGAACAUAAUCUGCACUCUUGUAGGACGAUAUGGGAGAAUAAAGCACAGAUUUUGUAUGCAAAGGCAAAAUACAUUACCACUGAACAACCAAAUACAUGCACUAUAGCAUAAAACUGCACAUGUAUCUAAUUACACAAGUAUAUAUUUCUUGCCUAAGCUACUGGUGUCCCGUCACAUACGUCGCAAAUCGUAUACCCGAGACCUUCACAAUAUGGACACUUUGCUCCCUCCUCCACCCAAUCCAAGAACUGCUAUCAUUCAACCCAAUAAUUACAAGUUAAUCUUGGAUAAUUCUGGGAAAGUAAGAGAGAAAAAUAAUAAUUAACGUAAAUCAUCUCACCUGUUCUUCGAUGUUUGGCUCGCCCGUUCCGUCACAUUCUGCACAAGUAAGAACUGCUUCAGUUACUAAGAGCCAUCUCAGUGUUCAACAUUAUAUUUGGAAAUCAAAUCACAGAAAGAUAUAAACACGCAUACGAACAAGGGUUGAAUUUAGUGAGAAGGACAGAGGGGGAGUACCGGUACACAAUAAGCGACCCUCCCCUCGGCAAGUAAGGCACCUUGUUGAGGCACCAGCCGUCUUGCUAUCACUACCUUUUUUCUUGUUGGUGAUAAGUCUAGAAGAAUCUUCCCAGCGGUUCUCUCCUAGAAGAAAAACUCGAUGGUGGGAUACCUCUACUUCUGUACCGUCUUCUUCUUUCACUACUGUUUGCUGGACCUCUGUAAUUUCUGUUGCAGAAGUAACUGCAGCUCCAUUUGCAUCUUCCUACGCAACAGAACCCACUCAACCAUUACAAGAACCGCAAUGUGUUUAAGCCAAUGUUAGUAUGAUGUCAAGUUUAUUUCUUUGUUAACUACUCGUCUCAUGAAGUGGAACUACAAAACCUCGUGUCUGUGUAAGCAGAAUAGAGUCAGAUAUUUAGGUCCGUUUCAUUAAGUACUAGUGCUUCUUCGUUGGUACUCGAAGGCUCAAUUCACUUCAAGUUGGAACUAUAAGACGAGUUUUUGGUUCCUCAUCGAGCAAACUAUUAUUUUUCAUCCAAGUGAGGAAUGCAGGUGAUGAUUUUCCAAACCAAUUAUGUUAGCUCUAAGCAUGAUUACAGAGUACGAUAUAUUGGUACUGAAACUUAAACAUUAGUUUCUUCCUUUUAGUAAAGACUUACGCGGUUUGUCCGGUAACUAAUAUAUGAAUGCUGCUAGCCUAGAACCUCAUGGUUCCAACAUACCUUUGGAGUAGUCACCCUUUUGUCAUCUGCAACCUCAAUUGUUGGAUCCGCAAAUAACAGUUCAAGAAGUUCUGCAGUCACUAUUCCGUCUUGAGGAAUGUCUAAGGAGGCCUGUCGAACAAGUUAUUACAAGUUCAGUAACCUACAUAACACCUUCCACUGCCAUUAUUUUGUUUAACCUUAUGCAGUCGCGUACAACGAAAUCUGAAACUUACUUGCCAAGUUUUGACAGCGCGUUCUGUUCCGGUUGAGAAGCUGGAAAACUCCAUGUCUUCCUCACCCGAGUAAAAACCGAGUUUUAGCAAUGCUUCCUGUCAUCAACAAUUCAAAUCACUCCAAUAUCGGAACAUUUCUGAAUGCAGAAUAAGAAAGACAAAACCCAAUUGAAAAAUGUUGAUGCAUUUUGGUUAAACAGAAGGAAUCGUAGAAUCCGAAAAAUCAAAACUCGCCUUUCAAAAGCAGACCUGCAUUGCUCGGACUUCUUCACCUUCCAGUCCCUUCCGCAAAGCACUUCUGCUCCUCGUCGUCGUCGUCGUCUUCUCCACCUGCUUCACUUCCGAAACCGCAAUCACCUCCUUCUCCUGAAUCUCCUGAAUUUCCUGAUGAUCCAACUCCAGGGCUUUGGAACUCGACCCGGUCUCCGCUAUCAGAUUCUUCUCCUUUAGCAUCUGCAGCAAACCGGCGACGCCGGCGAUGGUGUCGGAGUCCGACACCACCGAAGCCCCUCCUCCCAGUCCUCCCUGGCGCUCCAGAGCCUGGAUUUUAAGCUUGAGCUCCGCAAUUUCACGGAGGAGCGCGUCGCGGUCGCGCGCCCAGCGCUGUUCCUCCCGGAGCCACCUCUGCUCCUCGCGGAGCCAUCGCUGCUCUUCGCGGAGCCACCGGGACUCUUCGGUUUCGUCGUGGGAGGAAUUUGAAGAGAAGCAGAUGGUGUUGGGGGGUUUUAAGGAUUUGAAGGAGAGGGAAAGUGGGGAGAGAGUGUAGUAGUGGUGGCGCCUGGGGAGGAGAGGAGGAGGAGGAGGAGGAGGAGGGUGAAGAAAGAGAACGAGAGAGGAAGCUGCAGACAUCUGUGAGAAAUCACAGGCGAAAAUUGAAACGCAGAGGAAGAAGAAGAAGAUAUGAGUGAGUGAAGGAGUGAAAACAGUGAUAUGUAUUUGAGUGGAUAUCAGUGGCUCACCCAACCGUCACCAUUUGGGAACCGCCACUUCCAACCGUUGGAACGCAUUUUUGUUCACCAUGCUAAAUCGAUUAUUAUAAGAAAACUUUAAUGAAAAAAUUCCGAUAAAUUUUGAAAUUUGUUUAAUAAAAGCAGUAUAUGCCUACAUACAAGGUAUGUGAAAUUUUUUACUUUGGUUGUUAAAAUUGAAAGAGAGAUGAAGAGAGUGAGAGAGAACAUAGGAGUGAGGAAAGAGGGAGAGAGGUUGUUUUUUAUUUUUUAUAAACAUGUAGGUGAGGUUAGGGGUGGGCAAACGGGUCCUGGACCCGCGGGUAGGGGCGGGUAUUGGCGGUUCGGGGCGGGUACGGGGCGGGUCCGUAUUCUUUUAGGUACAAAACGGGGCGGGGCGGGGCGGGUCCAAGUAAACAAAGGGGCGGGCCGGUUCCAAUUUUUUGAAGUCGCGGGCCCCCGGCCCGAACCGUUUGCAAACCUCACACUCUCAAAUAUCUCUCUCACACACACUCAAAUCUCACAAACGCACACACAUCUCAGCUUUCUGGAAGAUUCUCCCGAGUCCUCCUGAGUCCUCCCGAGUCCCUCCCUGCCGAUCUCUAUCUUUCUUUCAGUCUUCCCUAUCGAUCUCUCUCUCCCAAAGUCAUCAUUCUCCAUUCAUCGAUUCUCCCGAGUCCUCCCUCUCGAUCUUUCUCUCCUAGAGCCUUCCCUAUCGAUCUCUCUCUCCCAGAGUCCUCCUUCUCGAUUCGUUGAUUCUCCCGAGUCCUCCCUUUCUAUCUCUAUCUCCGAGAGUCUUCCUUCUCGAUCUCUUUCUCCCAGGGUCUUCCCUCUCGAUCUCUCUCUCCUGGAGUCCUCCCUCUCGAUUCUCAAUCUCAUCUCCCACAACACCACUAUCGCCGUCGUCUCCUGACUCUUCUCCCAAUCGUGACACCCAUCAUCGCCGUUGAAAACACCACCAUAAUCUAAGCGGUUCAGCAGCUACAGCAGCUAAUAGGUAUGCCUAAUUUCGCAUUUCAGUAUUGUUGGGUAGAAUUGAAAGGAACCCAGAUGGAGAGUUUUAAUUUUUAUUUGAAUUGCAUGUUAUCCAGAUGAAAAAUUGAAUUUUCGAGCUACGGUUUUUCGAUUUUUUUAAUUUGGGAUUUCAAUUUUAUUGCUUUUUCUCAUAUAUGAUAAUGGUUAUGGUUUUUCUAGCGAAUUCUGAUUAUUUUACGAUCUGGGUUUAAUGAUUUUAGAUGGGGAUCAAGUAUAAUACGUGUGUAGAGGUUCUUCUUUGAAUUGCUAUGUGUGCAACAGCUUUGUUCAGUUAGCUAUCUAAUUGUUGAUUCUCAGUUAGGGUUUUGAGCAUCCAAAGUAUCAAUUCUUUGUGGGUUUGAUUUGUCAAGAGUUUUUUUUUUUUAAUGAAAGAAUAAGAAUUUACUUGCUUUACUGAAUUUUGGAAAAUCAUGCUGUGAAGGAUCUUGCAGGACUUGUUGAAGUCGUCUUUUUAUUCGCUUUGGGAGCUCGAUUUGGCUUGAUUUCAGGCCACUGGUUCGAGUUUGGUUGUCCUUCUAAUGGCAGCAGUGGCGGAGGAUGCAGCGGCAGAGGAUGAAGGUGUUAGGGCUUUUUAUGCUGGGCUUGGUUUCGUUGUCCUAUUGUAUUUAGGCUUGUAAAUGUGAAUGUGUUGUUGGUAAUAAAAAAAAGCAGCCCAAUGUCAGACCCAGAAAAAAAAAAAAAAAAAAAAAAAAAGAGUAAUUGGACCCGUAAACCCGUCCCGAACCGGCCCGUUUAAAACGAGCCGGGUUAGGUCCGGUUCCUAAAUUCAAAAUCUCUCUACCCGGCCCGCCCCGGCCCGUUACAUUUUAAAACGGGUAGGUCCGGUUCCUCUAAAUUUGGGCCCGGCCCGGCCCGUGCCCACCCCUAGGUGAGGUUUUAGAAAAAUAAAAAAAACAAAAUUUUGUUUUGUGAAAUUACUUUACUGUUCUUAAAUUUUUGUUGUUGUGAUAGAAGACAAAAAUAUUUUUUCGCCCUCUUCUGAUUGACAAAAAGGGUUUCAUUAAUGUAGUUUUAGAUAAAAUAGAUUAAAUCAAAUUUAUUCAAAGGUAAUGAAUUUAGUGAUGAUAAAAAAAAAAUCACUUUAGGGUGGUGAACAAAUUUUUUUUUUUCUCACUAAUAUACAUUUUAAUUGAUUUCAAUUUUUGAAAUACUCUCCCUUACCUCAAUGUGAUAGUUCGAACGCUCCCUCUCUCUUAAUAAUAAUACAUUUUUCUACAAAUAGUGAAAGCGUAACAGCAAAAAAUUAUUGCCACAACUUUUAAUUUACUUUUUCGAAGUAUUAAAAUAUCGUUAUAAAAACAUUUCACGUGUCAUUUUAGACGCAUAUAAUUUAUAAGCUUCGUAAAACAAAUAGCUCGCAUCUAAACAUAAUCAGCCAAACAGCUGUAACAACAAACUAUCCACCGGACGCUUCAAAGACCGGAUCUGCUAUAAGGCAGGGGGCUCUUCAAAGUUCAACCGAGAGAGAAAAUUGUCACAAAGCAGAGCUAUUCGAGUGAUGCGGUGAACAACUUCAUUUGCUUGGAAGAGACAUAGUUUAUCUGUGUCUCUGAUAGCUUAAGCUAAAUAACUUUCGCAUGUGUAUUGGAUACAAGCCUUUUGAGGUCAGAAUUAGAUGUAUUUAAUCCUCUAACAAACGCACUAAGCUAAAAGCUCGCAAUCAGAUCUGAAUGGAGAUUCCAAGAAGUAGGUUCUCAUGUGUUAGAAUAAGUCACUUGUUGAUUUGGCGUGCACUAUCAAUUUAUAUUAAAGAUUAUUAUGGAGACAGUGCAUAUAUUGCAAUGUAUAAGAUUGAACUUAUGUUCUUAAUGGAUACUAGGGUCUUUAUAUGUGGAGUGGUGUGCUUUGGGAUGAGCAAAAUACCCAUGGAUUUAGGUAAACGCGCUUUCCCGUCUAUUUAAAGUUGACAGUUACAGUUAUGGGUAACCGUUGAGACGAAUAACGGUUAUGAGUAUAACCGUUUAUAUGUGAAAUUUAAAUGAACGGUUAUGGGUAUUAUCCAAGGUUAUAACGGGUAUUCAUUUAUCCAUUUAAUUUAGGGAACUUUAACGAAAAGCACCCGGUACUGUUCAUUUUAACGAAAAACCACAUUUUUACACUAAAAAGUCAAUCCUGGUACUAUUCACUUUACCCUUUAUUUUGUCCUUAUCAUUGAAACUCAAAGUUUUCAAGCUCUUUUCAUUAGUUUUCCUUUUAAUUUAAUAUAUGUAAAUUUUGAAAAAAAUAUUAAAAACCCUCAACUCAGUCAUUCUCUCUCCGUCUCUACAUAAUUCAGUGCAAAAACUUGGCCCUGUCAAACAAUCAACAAAAGAAACUCAAACUUCGAAAACAAGUGGUUAAGAACCCACUGGGGCAUUACAUCGAACACCCCGGCGGGCACCCUAAUCGGAGCAGAUUUUCUUCAACUUAUCAGCCGCAGAUUCAUCCACAGAGUACUGCAAUCGCAGGAAAUCCCAAUUGGGUUCAACAGAAACACACACAAAAAUGUCCAAAACCAAUAAAUAUUCCAAAUUUGUGUUUUUAGUGAUAGAAAUUACGACGUUGUACCUUAUUUAGGACCCAGAGGGAAUGAUUGUAGGCCCUGAGGAAGAGAUCGUGGAGGGCCUUGUCGUCGUUGGCCUCGACCUCUCUGUAAUUGACGAAGUUCUCGCGGGCGUACUUGGCGUAGUAAGGUUGAGAGUCCUUUGGUAACCUCCUCACCAAUCUCAGAACCUCCCCGUAGAUUUUCAAUGCUUUCUCCAUAUCUCGACUCCCAGCACCGUCGAUCAGCGAUCACAGCAUCAGAACCUCCACGAAUAAAAAGGGCUUUUACUUGUCUUCACAAACGGGCCUCUGUUUAUUGCGCAACAGACAUAUUGGAGUUGGUAUGGGCCGUACCAAGCAGUUAUUUCUAAUGGGGCACUAUAUGCACCCAACCCAAUUUAAUAUAACGAUGUUUAAUUGUCAGAAAAUAAAAAUUUUUUUUGUAAUUUUCAAGUUGUUAAAAAAAAUAUGUAGAUAAGUGAAAAAAUGGGUAAAUUGGUAAAAAAAAGUAUAACCAGGUUCAAAAAUGGGUAAAUGGUUAUGGUUAAAUAGGUACACGGUUAUGCGUAUGGAUAACUGUUUAUAAACGGUUAUGAUUAUGGGUAUAACCGUUUAUACAAUUACCCAACAGGCAAACGGUUAUGCGGGUAUGAACAUAAACGGUUAUGGAUAAAUAACCGCAGUUAUCCGUCCGCCAUAACCAUUGCCAAUCCCUAGGUGUGCUUGAUUGCAGUGUACAUUUGACUGUUCACCUAUAUGAGUGUGGAAGUGAGGCUGCUUCCUAUGACAGCUUAGGCAGGUUCUCUAGAGCACUCAUGAUAAUUCAGCUUGGGCAGGUUCUGUUUACAUUUUCUCAUUAUUUAUCACCAUGUACUAAUUUGACAUGGUGAUAAAUAAUAAUUGUCUAAGGACUGGAUGAUGAUGCUACCAGUAUUACCCAAAUCAAUAUUACAAAUGUUAAAAAGUGGGAAGGCGUACCCUGAAAUGCAAGGCAAAUUGUCAAAGGACUGGUUGAUGAUGAAGAAAGGAUUGAAUUAUUUGCCUUAUUCAAAACUUGGAAGAUGGAAUUUAAUACACCAAAUACAUAUAUCAGAGAAUCUCCUCUACAACCCUCUAAUCCAGAUAAUAAUUGACUGAACAUGCCAUGAAUCUUCUUGCUCAUACACUUAGUACCUAAACCAUGCUUUACAAAAAACAACCCUGUAUCGAACAAUCAACUUUUCCAUAAAGGUAAAGGUAAAUACCCAAUUUAUGCCAACCAUGCGUAAACGAGCGAGCAUCUGAUAGGGGCUUGAAAAACCUGGAACCAUUUUCAAUAUCAUCAAACAACAGAAUCCCAAUAACAUUAAUCAAGGAUGCAUACAAGAACACAAUUACUUAAACACGCAUCAGAAAAGGUUUAGCGGCAACCUGGGCCUGAAACAUUGAUCAAGUAGCUGCCUGCCAUGCUCAGUCCAGCUUGACAUUAGAGUAGAGUAAUGUAUCCCUGGUGACUGGCAUAUUCAGAAGGAAGCACACCUAUAUAAAGAAAAUACACAAAACAGGUAAAUAUCCUUCUAACCACCAAACAGUUAAACACAUUAUUGACCCACACGAUCGGUCUAAAAAUAUAAUUUAACAAUCAUUAGAUGAUUCACUUUUGUACAUUCAAGAAAAACAUCAGAUAAAAAGCGGUUCAAGUAGAACUAGGUUCAUUGUUUCAUCCUUAAGUUUGUCAUGUCCUGGCCAAAGUCCAGCAAAGCAUCAGAUGUUAUGGCCAAUGGGUUUUGUUCAUGGUUUUUUCUCCUUUUUCGUUUUCAGCUGCGACUUUGAUCUUUAAGGACGGUGAAACUUACCCCCAAAAGAGUUGAAAUGAUAAGAAUAAUUCCUGUGAUCCAAGCAAGUGUACGCCUAACCAAUAACACUUGCACAAUUUUUGUAUUAUUCAGGCCUUCUUUUUCAGCCAACAAACGAGCAUAUGAUCGACUAGUAUACAUCACAUUCAACAUCUUUCCCGACUCCACAGGUGCAACUCCAUUGAAAAGGAUAGCUCCAACAAUUUGACCUGCAAAAUUGUUAAUUUAACAUUAUUUCUAAAGAUGAUGACGAAAAAUUUCAAAUGAACUAUUGAAUGAAGAAAAUAUAUAUUCAUAAAAGUACCAAAUAUAUGGCAGAUAUACACAUAAAAUUGGCAACAAUGUUUCUAGAAAGAACAAUUGCUUUAAAAGAACGAGAAUUAACUAAUAAAGUUUAAAAUCAAAAUGAUUACCUUUGUAGGCAUUUUCAAGUGAAUCAAAUAUCUUGGACAGUGUAGCAAGUAGUAGCUCCACUCCAUGUUGAGCUGCUCCAUCAGUUCCAUACUGCUCUUGCAAAACCUAUCAUAAGGUUUUGAAGUUUUUUUAUUAAGCUAUGGAACUCGAUGCAGACACACAAUAAGAAUAAACAAAAGAACACAGAGUCAAGAAAGUGCAUGCAUAUGAUUUGACUGCGUGUGCACAAUUAAUAUAUGCACAUAUAUCAAAUAUAUGAAAUUUAUGGAAUGCAGCUUGGAUACUAUAUUUUGAUAUACUCUUUUCUUCUUAAGGAGAAAAAAAAAUAUUUUAUUGAAUAUGUAUCAACUAAUCAAAGUGAAGAAGCAGCCUACAAAGCAAACAAACAGACCUCUAACCAGUAAAUUGCUAUAUAUGAAAAACAUAAAAUGCCCAAAAGUAUCUUUAAUUAGAAGCACAAAACAUCCCACAAGCUAACCAAAAAUGAACUUUAACACUGUGGCCUUCCAAUCCACAUGAACAAUAGAAUAGUAUAUCCCAAAUCCAGAGGGAGUCAAAGCACACAAUGAUGUCCAAAAGAAAAUUCCACCCUACAUACCUGCACUGGUAUAUAUUUAGAUCUUGUUUAUCCUUGUUCCUAACCACAAUUUUCUUUUCUCACUUUUAAACAAGUAGCUGGAUCCAUAAUCCAUAAUCACUUUUAAACGAGUAAUUAAUCUGUAAACUGAAAUUACAGUAUUACUAUUACACCAAUACUCCUCACUAUUUUACACCUAAAUUAAAGGACCUACUUGUUUCGGUAAAGACAUUGCACAUAAAAUUGACCAUUACACGAUGAAAUAGGUAUGUUGUAUUUUUGUGUUCGUAGUGAUGAUAGGGAGCUGGAUGUUAUGGAUACAUUCUACCUCUAGUGAACUACUGGUCCACUGCAAGCAUGUUUUGUUUCUUAUUAACAAGAACAAAACAAAAAAGAGCAUAAAAGCAAACAACCACACUUCAAAAUAUGUUCUUUAUUACUUGGACUCAACCCAUGUUUGAGCAGUGGGUUGAUGGUGAUAACCAUACCCCAAAAAGAGAAGUACCCCACAAGCAAAAAGAUCUCUAAACUAUAUUAUGCAUACAAGAAUGUGGAUAGUCUAAGAUUUCCAGAAUCCAUAAAUUUUCAGUACCGUGGAGUUCCACAAAUGAAGUACAAAAAACCUUCGAAGGAUACUCUUAACAGAAGAGUACAUUAUCACUUAUAUUAACCAAUGUUUUAAAAGGCUCGCCUUAGAGGCCACCAAGAGGGUUGCUGCCUUUGUUUUGAGGGAGUGGGCGGAAGACAUUGCCAGAGCCGCCUAGGCAGCGGAGGCGCGCCUCAGGCCGUCCAGGCAUCUCUGUUUGGCUGUUUUUUUAUUUAUUUUUUUAUUUUAACUCCCAAACCCAAAUUUUGGGUAGGGUUUUAACUGUCUCAUACCUCUUCCUUGCAUUAUCGUCUCUCUGCCUUUUUUUAUGAUUUUUAUUUUUUUAUAUAAUGGAUGUGUGUGUGCUGUCUGCGUGCAUUGUUAUAUGUCUGCUCAUUGUGCUUUUCAUCCUCAAUUAUAUAUAUAUAUAUAUAUAUAAUAUAAUAUAAUAUAUGUAUAUAUAGGUCGUACCCAGUGCACAAGGCUCCCGCUUUACGCAGGAUCUGGGAGAGGUGAAUGUCGGCUAGCCUUACCCUCAUUUAUGGAGAGGUUGCUCCCAAUAUGUAUAUAUAUUUAUAAUACAUGUGUGUGCUCAAGAUGAUUAUUGAUUAAUAAUCUUUUUUUUUAAUAUAAUAUGUGUACGCUCAGUGUAUAUAUUAAAACAUUUAGGUCCGUGAGGCUUCGCCUCACGCCUAGGUCGGGCUAUCCCUCUGACUCCUCACCCACGCCUCACGCUUUUAAUAAAUUGAUAUUAACUGAGAAACUGUGGCUUGCCUGUCACAAUAGCAAAAAAACAUAUUCCCCCCCCCCCCCCCCCCCACCAAAAAAAAAAAAAAAAAAACAACCCCCUACAUAUACGUAUGUACACACAGCAAAAAUACUUUUUGUUGGUUACUACUUUGCCACAAGCAUAUUUGCUGACAUCCAUUUUAAACUUUAAAGUCAACCAAAAAAGGAAGAAAACAACACCUUGAUUCCAUCAAAACGGCCUGUUAAUAACUCAGCUGGGCUAUGGAUGUUGUGUGACAAAUCUUGAUGCAUUUCUGUUGCCCUUUUAAAGUUGCGGAUGAGAGACAGAAGGCUAGUUGUGAAUAUCCUAUCUGAUUCCUGUAAACGUAUACGAUGCAGGCCUUCCAAUAUAAACCACCAUUUUACAACAUGUAUACAAUGCAUAUCAAACAAAAUGAACAUGUUAUAGUCAAUCUCAGAAAACCUUUGACAUAUGAAGCUUCAAGUUGUCGCCAUUGGCCAAAGGGAUGCUCAACUCUCCAUUUAGUGGUUCUAAUGUAUCAACAACAUAUGAACCACUCAUCCAAGCUGCCUAAAGAAGACAAAAAUCUUAACAUUAAAAUUAAAGCAAAAACUCAAGUUCAUUUUCAUGUAUACAAGAAUAAAAAAAAAGCAUGGCAUGUCGAAUAAAUGAACAUAAAAAACAAAACAUGAUAUAGAAUAUCUUCAAGCCAGACUCACAAAAUCUCCAAUCUCCUUGUCAGUAUAAUCUGUCGAUUGUUCAUCCAAAGAAAACACAGAAACUUCACCUUCAUCUGCAACAACACAUAUAAUGAACAAAAUUUUACAUAAUUCUGAAUGAGGAAUAGACUAAUAGUAAUGUCCUUGCACUAGUUUCACAAGUUACUCGUUUUGAAAGGUCAUAUACCUGGAAGCUCGAUGUCAGCUUUGCUUGAGCCAAGGUCAAUCUUGGAACUGUAGGCACUGCUGAACAUGGCAUUGUCUUUGACUACAAGAGCAUGAUCUGCAUGUAUUUUGACAUACAUGUUUAUAAUAAGUGCACAAAGUAAUAUAAUAAUGGUAAAAGUGUCAUAAGUUAGCAUGCAUUUUACUAUUUUAGAGACAAUGUUAUAUACCAUCAAUUCCUCCAACUUCAAGCGCAACAACAGCACGAGGCCUAUUGAAUGGAUUAGGCACGAGAACCUCAUUCAACUACCACAAAGCAACAACAAAAUAUGAUAAAUUAGACCUUGGGUUAACACGAUGGGGGUAACUAGAGAAAAUAACUUCACAUUACUUAUUAUCCACAACACCUUAGCUGAACCAACAGCUGAGAGGGCGGAAGAUGGUGCAAAUCCAAGCAAAACUGACACGGCUGCACUGACUUCUGAGAGCAACAUUGAGUCGGGCUGCGAAAGCAAAAGGCAAGUAGUAUUAGCAGAUAAACGAAGAAAAAUCUGCAGUAUUCAAUAUCUAGAUAAAACAACUGAAAAAAAUACCCCUUGCAGUACCAAAAUCAAAUAUAACAAAAUGAGGUAUGCUUAAAAUUCCGCCAAAAAAAUCCCAGGAAUCCCUUUUGGGGGAAACAAGAAAUAUAUUGGCACGAUCAAAUUUCUAACAAUUUCAAGUUCAAUUAGACUGAAUUUAAUAUGUGAAGUUGUGAACUUUAAAUAAUUAAACUGAAUUGGGGAAUUCUGAAUCAACAAGCAAUUGCGGGAAUUACCUUGACGACAUCGUUUGACGAAGGGUUACGAAGAAAAUGAUGAGUGGAGCUAUCGAUGAAGAAGACAGAGGCAGUACCAUCAGCCUGAUUCAAAAACGAACAAAACAGUAAUCAGAUCGGAGACCUAUCAUUAUCACAUCGAUAUAUAUAUACGCACACAGAUACAUAUAUAUAUAUAUAUAUAUAUAUAGAGAGAGAGAGAGAGAGAGAGAGAGAGAGAGGCGAACCUUAGCGUUGGAGGAGAUAAACGAAGCAAUGGUGAGUAUGUAGAAGCAGAUGGUGCGUGUGAGUAAAGCCAUGGGAGAGAGAGGAUCUGAUCUGUGGCUCUGCUACUUGGAAUGAGGAAGGAGGGGCGAACUGACUUGUCCUUUUGAUUUCAAGAAAGAAGCCGCGAGCGACGUCGUAUCAGUUUAUAUUCUGUUUUCUUUUUUUUUCUUUUUCUUUUUUUUUUUGUCAGAUAGUUUGGAGCUAAAACCUAAUCAUGAGGAGUAUUUAUGUGAGCAAAUGCUAGUCUAUGACUAUAAACUUACUAUUCACGAAGAGCGAGGAAGAGUUUCUCUUCAAGUUAUCAAUGAAUCAUGAAUUUUGUUUUAAUGGUCGUAAUUGUUCAUAUUCUUACUCACGCACUGUGUAAAAAUUAUUUAUGCAAAAAAUCAAUAUUUAUAAGAUCAUCUUCGAACUAUAUAAAAAACAUAUGGAUGAAGGAAUCCAGUAAAAGAAUUUAUAAACCGUUUAUCUAUUUGCUACAGUUAAUUUAUUAAACGAUCUUAUUUUAAUUGAAUUUUUGUAAAGAUGAUUUUUACAAAAUGAUUUAUAAUAUGAACUAUUCUGAUUAUAAAUAGAAUGUUUCGUGAAUUGGUAUAAAGUAUCUUAAAAGAGUCAAGCCUUUCUCUUUCAAAAAUAUCAUUAUGUCCUUUUUUCUUUUCUUUUUUAAGUUACGCCCUUAUGAUGAAUAUUGAAUGAAAACACUACGACUUACGGGCAUAAGCUUUGUUUGACACCAACGUGAACAAAUAAUCAAAAUUUCAUAGGGGAAAACGGCAAUGCUACGAGUAUCACGCAAAUCAAUAUUACAAGUGUUAAAAGUGGGAAGGCGUACCCUGAAAUGGAGAGAGGAUCCUAAGAUCCUCCAAUCAUAUCCGUUCAUCAUACAUCGCGUGGGUCAAUUUUAUCAGAUAUUGUUUAUAUUCAAUUUUAAAUGAAAAAAUUUACAAUAAUUUCCGACCAUAAUGUAUGAUGAAUGGAUGUCAUUAAAAGAUCGUCCUGAAAUGCAAGGCAAUAGUCGAAGGACUGGACGAUGAUGAAGAAAAGAUUGAAUUAUUUGCUUUAUUCAAAACUUAAAAGAUGGAAUUUAAUACACCAAAUACAUAUAUCAUAAAGAAUCUCCUCUGUAACUCUAAUCCACAUAAUAAUUGACUUAACAAACCAUGAAUCUUCUUACUUAUACACCUAGCGCCUAAACCAUGCUUUACAUUACCCUGUAUCGAACAAUCAACUUUUCCAUAAAGGUAAAUACCCAAUUCAUGUCAACCGUGCGUGACUGAGUGAGCGUCUGAUGGGCUCGAAAAACCUGAACCAUGUUCAAUAUCAUCGAUCAACAGAAUCCCAAUAAUAUUAAUCAAGGAUUCAUACAAGAAUGCAAUUACGUAAAACACAUCAGAAAAGGUUUAGCGGCAACCUGUGCCUGAAACAUUGACCAAGUAGCUGCCUGCCAUGCUCAGUCCAGCUUGACGUUAGAGUAGAGUAACGUAUCCCUCGUGACUGGCAUAUUCAGAAGGAAGCAUACCUACAUAAAGAACAGACACAAAACAGGUAAACAUCCUUCUAAUCACAAAACAGGUAAACACUUCAUUGACCCACAUGAUCAGUCAAAAAAAUAUAUUUAACAAUCGUUAGAUGAUUCACUUUUGUACAUCCAAGAAAAACAUCCGAUAAAAAGUGGUUCAAGUAGAAUUAGUUUCAUUGUUUCAUCCUUAAGUUUGUAAUGUCCCGUCCAAAGUCAAGCAAAGCAUCAGACAAAAAGUGGUUCAGGGCCGAUGGGUUUUGUUCAUGGUUUAUUCUCCUUUUUCGUUUUCAGCUGCGACUAUGAUCUUUAACGACAAGUGAAACAUACCCCCAAAAGAGUUGAAAUGAUAAGAAUAAUUCCUGUGAUCCAAGCAAGUGUACGCCUAACCAAUAACACUUGCACAAUUUUUGUGUUAUUCAGGCCUUCUUUUUCAGCCAACAAACGAGCAGAUGAUCGACAAGUAUACAUCACAUUCAACAUCUUUCCCGACUCCACAGGUGCAACUCCAUUGAAGAGGAUAGCUCCAACAAUUUGACCUGCAAAAUUGUUAAUUUAACAUUAUUUCUGAAGACGACGACGAUGAAAAAUUUCAAAUGAACUAUUGAAUGAAGAAAAUAUAUAUUCAUAAAAGUACCAAAUAUAUGGCAGAUAUACACAUAAAAUUGGCAACGAUCAUUCUCAAAACAAUCAUUGCCUUAAAAGAACGAGAAUUAACUCAUAAAGUUUAAAACCAAAAUGAUCACCUUUGUAUGCAUUUUCAAGUGAAUCAAAUAUCUUGGACAGUGUAGCAAGCAGUAGCUCCACUCCAUGUUGAGCAGCUCCAUCAGUUCCAUACUGCUCUUGCAAAACCUAUCAUAAGAUUUUGAAUUUUUUUAUUAAGCUAUGGAACUCAAUACAGACACACAAUAAGAAUACACAAAAGAACACACAGACAAGAAAGUGCACGCAUAUGAUUUGGCUGCGUGUGCACGAUUAUACAUGCACAUAUACCAAAUAUAUGAAACUUAUGCAAUGCAGUUUCGAUACUAUAUUUUGAUAUACUCUUUUCUUCUUAAGGAGAAAACAAAUAUUUUAUUGAAAAUGUAUCAACUAAUCAAAGUGAAGAAGCAGCCUACAAAGAAAACAAACAGAACCGGUAAACUGCUAUGUAUGAAAAACAUAAAAUGCCCAAACGUAUCUUUAAUUAGAACAACAAAACAUCCCACAAGCUAACCAAAAUGAACUUUAACACUGCGGCCUUCCAAUUCACAUGAAUAACAGAAUAGUAUAUCCCAAAUCCAGAGGGAGUCAAAGCACACAAUGAUGCCCAAAAGCAAAUUCCACCCUACAUACCCUCCACUGGCACAAUCUAAAAGAAAAUUACUGUACUUUGUUUAAUCCACACAACCCACAACAUAGUACAGUUAAAUACAAAAAGCUUAUUUCCUGGACCAGGAUUGAAAGAAGAUUUUUAGAUCUAGUUUGUCCUUGUUUCUAACCACAAUUUUCUUUUCUCACUUUUAAACGAGCAGCUGGAUUGGAAUUUUCCCUAAUCCCUAAUCACUUUUAAACGAGUAACUAAUCUGUAAACUGAAAUUACAGUAUUACACCAAUACUCCUCGCAUUUUAACACCUACAAUUAAAGGACCUACUUGUUUCGGUAAAAACAUUGCAAAUAAAAUUGACCGUUAUACAAUAAAAUAGUUCUGUUGUAUUUUUGUGUCCGUAGUGAUGAGAAGGGAGCUGGAUGCUUUAAUUCUACCAGAAAACAUAUUUGCUGACAUUCAUUUUAAACUUUGAAGUCAUCCCAAAAAGGAAGAAAACAACACCUUGAUUCCAUCAAAACGGCCUGUUAAUAACUCAGCUGGGCUAUGGAUGUUGUGUGACAAAUCUUGAUGGAUCUCUGUUGCCCUUUUAAAGUUGCAGAUCAGAUACAGAAGGCUAGUUGUGAAUAUCCUAUCUGAUUCCUGUAAACGUAUAUGAUGCAAGCCUUCCAAUAUAAGCCACCAGCUUUACAACAUGUACAGAAUGCAUAUCAAAACAAAAGAACAUGUUAUAGUGAAUCUCAGAAAACCUUUGACAUAUGAAGCUUCAAGUUGUCGCCAUUGGCCAAAGGGAUGCUCAACUCUCCAUUUAGUGGUUCUAAUGUAUCACAAUAUAUGAACCACUCAUCCAAGCUGCCUAAAGAAGACAAAAAUCGUAACAUUAAAAUUAAAGCGAAAACUCAAGUUCAUUUCAUGUAUACAAGAAUAAAAAACCAGGCAUGUGGAAUAGAUGAACAUCAAAAACGAAACAAGAUAUAGAAUAUCUUCAAGCCAAGACUCACAAAAUCUCCAAUGUCUUUGUCAGUAUAAUCUGUGGAUUGUUCAUCCAAAGAAAACACAGAAACUUCACCCUCAUCUGCAACAACACGUAUAAUGAACAAAAUUUACAUAAUUCUAAACGAGGAAUAGACUAAUAGUAAUGUCCUUGCACUAGUUUCACAAAUUACUCAUUUAGAAAGGUAAUAUACCUGGAAGCUCGAUGUCAGCUUUGCUUGAGCGAAGGUCAAUCUUGGAACUAUAGGCAUUGCUGAACAUGACAUUGUCUUUGACUACAAGAGCAUGAUCUGCAUGUAUUUUGACAUACAUGUUUAUAAUAAGUGCACAAAGUAAUAUAGUAAUGGUAAAAGUGUCAUACGUAAACAUGCAUUUUUUACUAUUUUAGAGACAAAGUUAUAUACCACCAAUUCCUCCGACUUCAAGCGCAACAACAGCACGAGGCCUAUUGAAUGGAUUAGGCACAAGAAUCUCAUUCAACUUCCGCAAGGCAACAACAAAAUAUGAUAAAUUAGACCUCUGAGUAACACGAUGGGGGUAACUAGAGAAAAUAACUUCACAUUACUUAUUAUCCACAACACCUUAGCUGAACCAGCAGCUGAGAAAGUGGAAGGUGGUGCAAAUCCAAGCAAGACUGACACGGCUGCACUGACUUCUGAGAGCAACAUUGAGUCGGGCUGCGAAAGCAAAAGGCAAGUAGUAUUAGCAAAUAAACGAAGAAAAAUCUGCACGUAUUCAAUAUCUAGAUGAAACAACUGAAAAAAUACCCUUGCAGUACCAAAAUCAAAUAUAACAAAAUGAGGUAUGCUUAAAAUUCCGCCAAAAAAUAUCCCAGGAAUCUCUUUUGGGGGGGGCAAACGAGAAAUAUAUUGACACGAUCAAAUUUCUAAAAAUUUCAAGUUCAAUUAGACUGAAAUUAAUAUGUGAAGUUGCGAACUUUAUAUAAUUAAAUUGAAUUGGGGAAUACUGAAUCAAGAGGCAAUUGCUGGAAUUACCUUGACAACAUCGUUUGAGGAAGGGUUACGAAGAAAUUGAUGAGUGGAGCUAUCGAUGAAGAAGACGGAGGCAGUUCCGUCAGCCUGAUUCAAAAACGAACGAAACGGUAAUCAGAUCGGCGACCUACCAUUGUCACGUAUAUAUAGAUACAGAGACAUAUUUAUAUAAUAUAGUGAAAGCGAGAGAGAGAGGCGAACCUUAGCAUUAGAGGAGAUAAACGAAGCAAUUGUGAGUAUGUAGAAGCAGAUUGUGCGUGCUAGUAAAUCCAUGGCGCAGAGAGGAUCUGACCUGUGGCUCUGCUACUUGGAUUGAGGAAGGAGGGGCGAACCGAUUUGUCCUGGUUAUUUAUUUACAAAAUCCUUUUUUAUUUCAAGAAAGUAGCGGGGAGCGACGUCGUAUCAGGCUAUAUUCUUUUUUCUCUCCUCUCUUUUUUUUUUUUUUUUUGUCUGAUGGUUUGGGACUAAAACCCAAACAUUACUAUUCACGAAGAGUGAGGAGGAAGUUUCUCUUCAGGAUAUCAAAUGAAUCACAAAUUUUGUACUAAUAAUUGUAAUUUUUCAUAUUACUACUCACGCACUCUGUAAAAAUAAUUUAUGCAAAAAAUUAAUAAAAUAUAAGAUUGUGGUCUUAUAACUAUAUAAAAAUUUAUAGUGGAAUCCAACAAAAAAAAUUAUAAACCGUUGAUAUAUUUGCUACAAUUAAUUGAUUAAACGAUCUUAUUUUAAUUGAAUUUUUACAAAAAUGAUCUUUACAUAAUUAUUUGUAAUAUGAACGAUUCUAAUUAUAAGCACGAAAUUAUGUAAAUUAGUAACAAAAUAUCGAGAAACUUCACUUCAAUCUUAAAGACUCAAGUCUUUCUCUUUCGAAAAAUACCAUUUAUGUCCAAUUUUUUUCAAGCUAUGCCCUUAUUUUAUUAAAUAACGUUUUAAUCAUUAGGGGAAUGUAUAUCAAACUACUAAAUAAAAUAUUAAAGAGUAAUGCUAAAAAGAUUAAAUUUGGAAAUUAAAAUUGUAAACUAAAUAAUGUGUCACUAAUAGAAAUGAGCACGUCUCUCAACACUUAAGUAAUAAACCAAUCAUCAACUUUCAUGUCAUUUAGUUUCCGAAAUUUCAUCUCCAAAUUGAGUCAUUGCUCAAAUAUUAAAACAUUAAAAUUCUUACAACCCCACUUUUCUUAUCUACAACUCCUCACAAUUGCUCAACCUAUGCAUCCUAUGCAUAGCAUGUGAGCAAUUGCUAGGUUAUGAUUAAAGAAUUUGCAUGUAUAUGUAUUUGCUAGGAAUGACUUGCAAUGAAUGUGUAUUAUGUAUUUACUAAGGCCUUCUAAAAUGGAGUCUGAUUCCAUAUUGGAAUCAAACUUUUACAGCGGGUUAGAAAAUUUGAGUUCUACGAAAGUGAUUCUAUUUUUUGAGUUCGGUAUUGAACUUGUGAGUUUGAUUCCUAUAUAAUAAAUGGCCAACUUCUAAGUAAUGAAAAGGUGGUUGAUACAUGGUAUGACAUUACCUAGAACAUGAAGCUAUAUGAUAACUAAUGGGAAUUGUUUGAUUCAUAUUCAUUCUUUCCCAUCCCCGUACGAAAGCAAGCAAACGCAUGUAUAUAAAGCGAGAAAGCAAAAACAGUGCAACGUUGUUCUACUAAUAAAAAGAUGGUUAUUUUUACCAAAAAAUAAAAAUAAAAAGAUGGUUAAGACUAAAAUGCACCUUUAGUUAAUUAAGAGCAUCUCCAAUUAUGUUUUUUUAUUUUUUAGUUAAAUUUUAGAUAAAAUUACUAGAAAGCUAUUUUAGGACUUCCCUUAUUUAGUGUUAUUAUUUAUGACUAUCUAUACACCUAUUUUUAUUUCUCACACAUUUCCUGUGAAAUUAUCACAGAGAUAAGCAGAAGGCUCAAUUUCAACAACACAGAUAUUAUCCCCCAAUUUGUUAAUUAGCACAUACAUAAUCCGUUAGGUGUGGAGUUUUAUUACAAAAUGUUUCGGUAUUAGUUGAACUAGGAUUAAGAUAUUUAAACUCUUGAUACGGUCGAUUUAGGAUACUUGAACAUCAUUUUCAAUUUUUAACUAUCAGAUCGAAUGAAUUAAAUCAAUCAUCCAAAAUUAACAAGAAUCUGUAAAAGAUUUAAUUAAAUGUAUAAAUAGCACUAUCCAAUUUAUAUUGCUUGUUUAGUAAAAGCUGGUUGUAGAGCAAUAAAUGUGCCUUAGCUUUAUAUGUAGUUAAUUUAAUUUGUACACAAAACCAUCAUCACUUCACACUACCAUUAAGGGCAAUGUGUUGGACAAUCAUACAAAUUUGAGGGAAACAUACAACUACAUACAAUUGUAAGAAUAGUUCAGUUGGCUAAAAAUACUAGUUUUUGUCUCUACAUUCAAAUUUGAAUUCUACUUCUCAUCAUUUAAUUUAAAAUUAAAUUAGAUUAUUGCUUGAAAAAAAUAAACCGCUAUGAACAUCAUCGCCCCUUAAUUAAUAGUCUAUGUAAAGUACUGAAAAUAUAUUUGAAAUAUGAUAUGGUGAGGAUAUAUUAGAAGUUGACAGUGCUUUCCCUUGCAUGGAGAGUGUUUGCAUGACAAAGCCAAUACUAUAGCAUGUAAGAUUGAACGUCUCUAUAGCUAACUAGCUAAUAACCACAAUAAGCUUCAUGGUGAUGACGAGAAGGAAAUAACAAGAACAAUACCGAAGCUGGAAAUAAUUAAGAACCUCCUAUUAACACAUUAUAUUAUGUAGCUUCUAAAUCUCAAUUCAUCAUUGCAGUAGGUAGAUGCAACAUAAACUCAUGGUCAUAUGUAUCCUUGCACUCUUUAGUGGCCACCGCCAGCUCCAAAUCCAGAUCCACCCCCGGCACCACCACCAAAACCACCUCCUCCACCAAAACCACCACCUCCACCACCGCCUAGUCCACCUCCAACUCCUCCGCCUUUCCCAAACCCUCCACCAGCUCCAAACCCUCCUCCAGAACCACCACCAACACCACCACCACCCCCAAACCCACCUCCACCACCACCACCGCCUCCAAGACCUCCGCCAGCACCAGCACCACCGCCAAAACCUCCACCUGCACCACCACCCGCUCCACCACCGCCGCCAAGACCACCACCUCCUCCAAGACCACCACCUCCGCCAGCUCCACCUCCGGCACCAAAUCCACCACC